rnacentral:lncRNA from 1 species
UAUCCCCGUGUUUCUGUGCCCGUUUCUAUCUCAGUUGUUCAAAUAUCAUUUAUGAGUGCCAUCAUUUUUAUUUAUUUUUAUCCGUCUUCCAGGUAAAUCACACAAAACGUGAGCUCCACAAUGUUUUUAUCAAAAAGCUUUACAGGUAUAUUCUAUUUUUAAGAAUUUAUUAGUAUGGUCCAUAGGAUGCCCAAUGGAACUUCAAAAUAGUACUUGCAUCUUGGUGUGUACGAAAGAGGAGAGCAGCCUGUGGCCUUUUUGUACUUAAAUCUUGACUAGUAAUUGGUUCAGUUGACGGUGUAUACGAUAUAUUUGUCAUUUACAAAAAUUGUUAUGUUCAUAUGUUAAUGUUAUGUAUGGAGCAGGGACAACUUGUUCGAAGAGAUGUUGCAGGAACCUGAUGAGGUAGCUACGAAAAGAAAGCGUACUCGAGAAACCCUUCGGGUUCUACAGCAAGCUUUCCGGGUAAGUGCUUGAUUCUUCAGUUACAUAGAAGCGCUCCAUCAAUUUUUCUCUAUUUUUUAACUUGUAUAGUAGUGAGCACCAUUGUCUGAUUCUUUCAGGAAUCUUGAUGUGCAUAUUUAUGGUUUGUUGGUAAUAGAUUUUUCUAAUAUCAUUUUCAGCCACACACUUUAUGGAAUCCACAACUCUUCCCUUUUUUUAAUCACAUUCUCAAAAAGGAUCAUUUUUCCCUUCGAAAAAUCUGUGCCAAACUAGCUUUUAAUGUGGAUAUCAGCAUGUCUAAUCACAAAGUAGCAGUUUUCUUUCUAGAUGAAUGUUCAUUGAGACUUGCUCUGGUGAUUAUUAAUUUCAUUCUGACCUUGAUUUAACUGAUAGGGAUGAAAGUACACAUCUUCCACGAUUGGCUUGUGAGAACGUAAUUUUGGAUGUCUUUGGUGGGCUGAAGUUAUUUUUAAUUAGGCACCCAAAUGCAUUUGUGCGUUGAACAUCCCUGAUUUUCUUCUUUCCCAAAAGGACUUAUGUCGAAUUUGUGUUUUUCUAGUCCUGCAUAUCCUCUUACGUCAAAUUCUUCUUUAUAGUCCCAAAGACGACUUAAAUGAUCUGUCUACUUUUGCAUGUAGACAUUGGACGAACUACCGCUUGAAGCUGAUACAAUUGAGAGGGGCUACAACUUAAGUACUGAUCCAACAGGCCUGCCAAAAGUCCAUGGGCUUCCAACCUCAUCUAUGUAUUCUACUACCAGUGGUUCAACUGAAUUUUAUAAUUCUCAGUCCAAAAAUCCCAAAUCCCGCAAGUCAUCACAUUCUGGUGAACUACACUCACCAUUUUAUGGAAAUGCAGAUUUUAAUGGUGGGGGACGAAAUUCUAUUCCGGGCUUUUAUCCAACAGUCGACGUGUAAGUUACUUGAAGAAUGCGUCAGACCAAGUUCUUAGAUUCUCACAUUCAUUUGAUGCCAGCAUUCUUGCUAGAUGGAGGACCAUACUUCAUAGAACAAGUGUGGAUGUUUUGGAAAAAUUUUUCUUUCAGAUGAACACACUAAAAUUUACCAUAUUUUUCCCCUCAACACGGUUAAUUAUAUAAGCAUGGCUUAUCAAAUGCUCCAAUAAGAACAGAAGCAAUAUCUUCCCUCCUUUAGAGGUAUGCUGCAAAUUUUUACUGCUUUUUUGGGGUGUAGCAGAUGUAUCUAGUUCUUUCACUCCUAUAAGUCGGCUCACUUUGCUUAUUUUACAUUUUAUCAAUGACAUUUAGCGUCGCCGGUAUUGCAUAGUGCAAGGCUUCUUACGAGGCUUGCUUAUAAUACAUGUUUUAUCAACUAACAGUGGUACGCUUUUUUAACGAUGUUUUGGGAGUGCAAUUAGUCCCAUAUUCUGAUUGAUGUAUAAUUGUCAUCUUGUUUACAUGCGAAAAUUUUGUUGGAACCUCUGUACUGAUGUUCUGUGGUUCAAAUUGACAUGUCCCAUUCAGAAUUGUUGACUCAACUUUGGCUGAUCAGGCCAAGUCACCAUUAGAUUCACUGUAUGACAUAACCCUGUAUAAAUUUUGUUGAUCUACCUCGUUUAAAAGCUAAGAUGAGAUAAAUUUAUUUAUUUAAAUUAUGUCUCCAUCGCUUAUCUUUACGCACCGGCUAGAGCUAUUUUUUUUUUUAUUCAUGUGAUUUAUUUUUCAUAAAUGGUUGAUAAUGAGAGUUGAAUAAGUUUGAUUUGUCUUUAUUGAUGUCUUGGAAAUGAGGCUAGAACCUUGUACCUUUACUACUGAAUUCAUUUUGAUGUAACAUUUUUUACAAUUAAUUUGCAAGUACAGAUUUUAUUUUAUUAUUAUUAUUAUUAUUAUUAUUAUUAUUUUUUUUUUUUAAAAUUGAAUUGGUACAAAAAGAUAGUUGUUUUCUUAUGAUUUAUUGUUGCCAAAUAUUGUUUUUGGCAAUAGCUAAUUAUAUGAACAGAACUGUUUUUCUGUACAAAUUUUGUAGAAAAAAAAAUCUAUACUUACAAGCAUUACUCUCUCUCUCUCUCUCUCUCUCUCUCCUUUUUUUUUUUUUUUUUUUUUUUGGGGGGGGGAAAGAGGCAAAAAUUUUGAAGGUGAUAGGUUGAUUGAAUUUAUUUAUGUUUGAGCAAAAAUAAGAUGCUAGCAUUAGAAAUGGCAAUUUACCCGGUUCUAUCCCGCCUCGGAUGGCGUAAAAAACCCGUCCCGUGAUUUAUUAUUAUUAUUAUUUUUUUAGGUGAAAUAUUUUGUUAAUCGGCUAAUGUUCACCUUGAACAUGAAAAAAAGCUCUUCACGUCCAGCUUAACAUAAUCAAUUUAGAAUUAAGAUUUUUCAUAAUAUUUCAUUUCAUCAAACCAUAUUUCUGAUCUGGAAAUAACAAUUUUCUUUAAAAUAAAAUUGCUUCAUGUGAAGGUAAAUUGUUCUGUUAUUGUCAGCAUGCCAUAAAAUUACAAAUUUCGCAAUUAGUCUUUCCACUCUCUCCUGUGCCCACAAGGUUUGAUUCUGUGGCACAUUAGUUUGGGUAGACUUAUUCCUUGUAUUGAAGCUUUAAUUUAUUUAAAUAUUUAUCGUGCAGAUUUAAAAAAUAAAUAUCUGAUCAUUUCAAGCUUUCAAUUAUUGAAUUGAAUCCUCUAUUUCAAUAUUUUUCGGACAUGCUAUUAGAACAAUAAGUAAAUGAUUGCCAAUAAUUUCAAGCUUUGAAUUAUUGGAUUGAGCAAUUACACGUGUAAAAGAAUUUUGGAAAAAAAAAAAAAAGGGGUCAGCAUAGGGGGCAAGCACCCGCCCCGCCCCAGUUGGAAGGCAGGGUGGGAAAGGGUAUGGGGGAAACGCCAUCCUGUCUCGAAUCCGUCUCGUUGCCAUCACUAGCUGGCAAACACACACGAAACAGCCCAUAGCCAAAUAGCGAUGUCUAAUGUUUUGUUAACAUUGUUCUUAAUCGAGCAUCCAAACUUGAAACUUGGAAAUGUCUGAAUUAUGCAACAAUUGGUAGUAAAAUCUAGAUAUAGCAAUGGGACGGGUUUGUGCCCCGUUCCGUCUCGUCCUGCUCCAUCCUAGACUAGGCGGGCGGGAACGAGGCAACUUUUUGUCCUGUUUAAUUUUUUUAUUUUUUACGUUUUCAAAGUUUUGAGUUAUGUUAUUAUUAGAGAAUAAAAUACAAAUUCAAAAUGAAUUUUUAACGGGUGAACUGUUUAGAAAUAAAAUUAUUUUUAAUUUUUUUCCUUCAACGGGCAGAGCUGUUUUUUUUUUUUUUUUUUUUUUUGCCAUCACUAGUAAGAUCCAAAAUACUUACCCCAGUCAUCCUACAUAGCAGACCCAAAUUUAAAAAACUCACCCUCAAUAUAUAUUUUAUUGCUUUAAUAUAAUACUAAUCUUAAAUUAUUCUACAAAUACGAUUUUUUUUAUAACUAAUUUUCAGUAUUCUAAUUCUAAAAGGAUGCAUUGGUCAAACGACACGAUCAGGGUAACAUCGAAACAUCGUAUGGUAAAUAACUGCAUGCAACCCUUGACGCAAAUAAAAGAAAUUAACCAUAUGCACCCUUUGCGAACAGUUGCAUUCCCUCUCGAUUGUCAUCGUUCAAAAUGUAUAUAUAAUACAUUGGCCACCAUAAUCUGCAUAAUUAUUUCUUCUUAAGAGACACAGAUAUAGAUUGGGAAUAUGGAUGCCGAAUAUGGUGGAUGGGGUGCAGGAUCGGUGGCGACAAUGCUGUGCAUCAUUUUGUGUUUGAUAUUUCUGCCGCUAGCGAUGGGGCCGGGGUCGCUGCAGCCGCCACCCUCAUACGCGUUCCUCAUUUUCCCCGUCUUGAUGGCUGCCAUUCUCAUUUUCCUCACCCAGGCUUCAAAGAAUCGUUAGUCUGUUCAAUUCUACUGUCACAUUGAAAUUUGUACACAACUCUUUUUAUGAUGGUUUUGUUAUUUUAGACACAAAAUUUUACAGAUAUUAAUGGCUUCUUCUUUUUCAUAUUUACGAUUAUUGUUAUUUGAUGUAUAGAACGAAACUGUAGCAACCCGAAAGGCAUCGAUGGCAAUGUGCGUGAGAUCAAUUAUUCCGGUCAUAACCCAAAAUGGGAUUCCCCAUAUACACAUUGUGCCAUGUCUCCAAAAAUAUUAUACAAGGAAAAUAAAUGGCUAUCUACAUAAAAAAAAAAAAAAAAAAAAAAAAAAAAAAAAAAAAAAAAAAAAAAAACCUACUUAAUUUACAACUAAACAGAACCUUCAAUCCAAGGGGGAUAAACUGGUACAUUUCCUCCAGUUGUCUAUCCAGUACACUAAAAAUCUUCUCCAAGAGUUGCAUCGUUUAUUUAUCUAUUGAAGUUAAAAGUUUUGUCUAACACCCAGAUUGUAUCUCAGUACUAUAAACAAAAACAUCUCAACGGUCAGCAUCUUCCUGAAUCUCGAUCAUGUACCGGGCCAGUCAGUACCCAUAUGUGAAUCGACGUCAACCUGCAGACAAUAAUCUUAAACAUUAUAAUAAAAAUGCUAAAAGUUUCUCGUUCAAAUGGAGUCCCAAUUGAAUGUUUACUACAUAAUACUUUAGCUUCUUUUUUCUUUCUCGAAGUGUCCAAUCCUUGUACCAAACAUGGGAUAAAGGUACAGACCUGCUCACAGAAGUUUGCUGGAAUAUCGAAUUCUGUGGCUGAAACAUUUGCAAGUUCUUCAAUUGUUUCCUAUUAAAACCAGAGGUCUUGCUAAAAUCAAAUUAUAAUUAUCAAAAAGGGUCAUUUAACUAAUGAGACGUGCCCAAGAAAUUGAAGAAUCCAAAGCAUCCACUCAGCUCACGAAUUUGCAUGCAGAGAUGCCUCCUUUUAAUGGGGCAUGGAAUUUGCUAUAUUCAAUAUAAACCUGAAUGCAGUUACGUUGGCAUGUAUUUCGCAAACAUCAUAUACCAAACAAAUGGGAAGUUCAGUUCUUCAUUUUUCUUAUCAACAUAAACUGUAAGUAUCCAGCAUUCUAAGAUCUUGCCAUAUACUGUUUACAUGGAUGUUCCUCAAGAUUGUUGGGGGUGCAGAUGGGAAGAAAAAUAUUGAAGCAAACAGGCAUGUUUGAAACCCCACCAAAACGGAGAAGUUUUGAACAGAACUAUCACCUGUUCGUCAAGGUUGACCGAAGAAUUUCCUAUUCCAAUGGAGGAAUCUUCAGUAAUUCCUUCAGUAGUUUCCAUCAAGUCCUGAAAAAUGAAAGAAGUGAAAUCCACACUGAAGAAUAAGGAUUGCUACCGUGAAGCAAAGACAAUCAUUUGACUGCAAGAACCAUCAGGACAAGUUGUAUCAAGAGCACUCCUUUUUGAAAUGCAGAUAAAAAAUAACAUUGAUCAACAGAGGCUGUCUUGACCAAGCGUGAGGCGAAGCAUGAUCAGAAAGACAUCAUGCACUCCUCUACCCAACUGUUUCCCAGAUGGGGCAACUCUCUGGUUCUCCCUUUGCUGCUCAUUCCCAGUUUAAGAUUUCUUGCUUGUCAAAACAUAAUAAAUUUCAAUAAAGAGCACCACUGCAAAGCCCAUCGUAACCUAGCAGAAGUAUAAUUUUGGUUACUUAUGAUAUUGCCCAGAGUUUGUAGCUUUGUGCCAUGCACUUCGGAUGAAUAUCUAGACCAUCAAGGAUCCUCUCAACAUCCUUAUUCUUUCUUUACUUUUUUUUUGAGCAGAUACAAGGAAACUACUCUACUCACUGCUGUGAUAACAGUACAUAAUGGAGCGAGAUUUAUAUAAGCUCAUGCUCCCCAUUCUAGACAUAUAAAUAAUCAAAACUAAUCAUAUGAAAAGAUCCUAGAAAAGGAGCAGCUGAAAACAUAAUUUUAGGCAAAUAUCUGAUUCUCUAGGUGAGGUUGAUAUAAGCUCAUGCAUUCUACACAUAUAAUCAAAACUAAACAUAUAAUAAGAUCCUUGACAAUGAGCGGCUGAAAACAAAAUUCUAGGCAAAUAUCUGAUUCUCCAGAAUAUAGAUCCAAAUCCUGGUCUGGCCAUUCUUUACUAUGACAAGAUGGCUGCAGAAUGCGAACUCUGGACUUGCAUGGUAAGAAGUGAGUCGGUGUUGCCAUCAAAGAGAGUUUACCAAAAAUAAUGUACUUGAGCGAAUUUCUAACAAUUUUUCCAAAUUGAAAGUCCUUGCUCCAUUAUUGCAAUAUGCACAACCUAGAACGCAUGUGGUCUCAAUCACUAUGGGUUUGCAGAAUCCCAGAUUUUGAUAAAUCCACUUCAUUGAUAGCUUCUUAUGUAACCAGAGAUAAACUGGAGGAAGACUGUAUUCUAGGAUCAUCUAACAAAAUGAUGAUUCCAGGAGCAAAACUACCUAGACGAAAAAAAUAUAAUAACCAAAUAUGGAGCAAAUUUGAAUAAGCAAUAGUCAAUCGAACAAACAGUUCCUGAUCCAACUGCAGAUAGAUCCAUUUCCCAUUACAGUUACCCAGGCACUUUUAUAACCAUUAUAUGUCCUUUUCGCCUAACAUUUUAUAAUAUCUAAAAAGAGGGAAUCGAUGUCCUGCUGAAUGAUAUCAUUGAAAUAUCUUUCUUCUCUUCCAAAAUUUAUUGUUUUGAUGGGGGAGUGUCUGGCAAGUCUUGUUUGUUAGCGAUUCAUCUUGUGAUGUCAGAAAUUCAGUCUUGGUUGUAAGCUUUGUUGUCAAGCUGAUACUGAAAUUUAGCCCCCAUUUGUUUCCCAUUAUUUGCCCAUUAAAAUGAAAAAUAUGACCGUUAUUCAUCACAUCAAGUCACCAUAUUUGACUUUCUAUUUCUUGUGUGGGGCCCGUAACGACUAUAUUUUUCAUUCUCAUUUUUACAUUAAUAUGUAUCAAACGGAGCCUUAAUGGGAAUAAUAUCCUAUAUGAAGUCGUGUAUUGUUAAUCCCUGUCUUUCAAAACAUGUGUUGGCAAGUCACAAGAUGCCAUCACGUAUUAACUCAGUUUAAGCCAAGAUAUGACAUGACUAUCUGUGCCAAAGUCAGUAUUACUUUUGAAGAGAGUGUUGCUACCUGCGCAGUUGGUCUAAUUGAAAAUUUUGCAGACUCCAAUAGUGCAGGUUGUGUCUGUUCUGGGGUUCUCUGUCCAAACAAAAGAAAAAAACACAGUUUAUUUUAAAAUUACAAUUGCGAAAUUAUAUAACAAAGUAAAUUUUCAUUCACCCCUUUUCUUCAAACAAUAUUCAACCUAGCUGCAUCUUAAAGUAAUCUCUUAUAUAUUAGUUUCCAUCUGCAUCUUAAAGUAAUCAAUCUCCUAUAUAUUAGUUUCUUAGUUUCCAUCUCUCAAUCAGAAUAUCUUUCAAAGUUAAAGAUUCCACCCAUCGCAUUCUACCAUCUAAGACAGAUUAUAAGGAAAAAAAUCUAAAAUCCAUAAAUAGUCAAAUAAUUGACUGAUUAGUAUCUCCUGAAGCCAGCGCCAAAGAUCUCAAAUCCUGUAAGUUUAUAAUAGAUAUUAUCCACACACAAUUACCUCCUCAUCCUGGUUGUGAUAGGAACUUUCAGGUUCAUUGGCAGCAGGCUUGAUCUCAGGAGUUUCCUGGUGAAUUUAUAGACGUCAUAAAGGGUUUGACAAUAAGGUAAAUACAAUUCUUCCCCCGUCAUGACAAAAAUGAUAAGUACUAAGCAUCAUAAAGGUGAAGUUUAAAAAAUGAGCAGAAUCUUCCCAUGUAAUAUUAUUUAUUAAGUGAAGAAGAAUAGGUAUAAGUUGAGCUGCUUCUCAGAUACUCACUGGCUCACUUUGAUCAAAUGAUAUUUGCCUCUGUCCUUUUGUAAGAUCCCUCAGAGUUCCCUAAAAACACAACUAAGUAAUGAGAAAAUAGAAUGGAUUAAAAUAUUAAUAGAUGUUAAUUUCAUCUCUAACUAAAAACAAUAACCAAAGUGGAUAAAGGGAUCAUAUACCUUGUUCGCCCACAUCAAUCCACAAGCAUUGCAUAAAGUUCUAGGACCUGCUGGCCCCCGCCGCAUUGCUGGAGUAGAAUUUUCAGUAACCCCACAAUGAACACAUCUACGUAACCUAUUAAAAGAAUGAGAAAUGACAGGUCCAUACAAAAGAAUGAGUAAGAGAAGGUCACAAUAUAACACUAAAAAAUUCAGGGGCUUCGUAUUUUCCAGAACUUUUCUAAUUCCUGAAAUUUGAAAGAAGAUUGUUACUGGGCCGUCAAUUAAAAUUAGUUGGGGCUUGUUUUUAAUUAUAUUUAUCAUUAAAAUAUUCUAGAAGUAAGCAACAUAUCCAUUUCUUCAUAGACGAAAAAACUAAGAAGCAGAGCGACCAUGGGAGAUAACUGAUGCACCUAGGUGUUCUGAAGAAGAAGAUGCAGAAAAUUGUUGCUAUGUUGAUAUUUGUCAACUUAAAUUACCCAACAGAUGAUACAGACAAAAAUACAAUGGAAACAGCUGCCGAACAGAUUUUUCUAUCUGCUCUUCAAGUUCGAGAUGUUGUAUUCAAAAAGAAGCCACUUGUUAAAACAUUAAGUAUCAUACUAUAGUUCCUUGGAAGGUUCAACAAGAAUGCAUUUCCGUUUUAUAGAGAGAAAAUUACAAAAAAGGGCUGGCACGCAUAAAUUAUUGCAACCACGAACCAUGAUAUAGAAUGCUACAUGCUAAAUGAAGAACAAAAGUAAAAAUUGGGACAUGAAAUGUUCUAAAGUAUGAUAAACAGGGCGUUGAAUUAAGGAGCUAUUAUCCAGUGAAGAAUAUCUCCAUACUCACACUGGUUCUGCACGAGAAGUGUCGUGGCCUGAAACCCAAAUAUCAUUCGAUGUUUUGGGACUCUCCUUUACUGAGGCAAAUUGGCCAUUUUUACGGUGCAUCCUGACAGAUAAUUCAGUCAAACAUAAAAAUAAUAAACAAAGGCAUAUUUUGUCGAAUGUAAUUGAAUAAAGAGCAGUUUCCUAUAACUCAAUGUACUCCACUCAAGUUUUCCAUUCAUUUUUGUUAAGCAAAGUAGGAACACUACGGAGCAAUAAUGCCUCGCCAAAGUUCCUCUCCCAUUGUAAUUGACCACAACAAAGUGCAACUUUCUAAAGUUCCCUUCUCGACUUUCGUCAAUGUCAGGAUUUAGCCAAGGAACGUUAGCCAAGAAUGCUCAUAACUAAACAAACCAACCAUGGCAGAAAUUCUCUUAUAGAGCAACAUAAUGAAAAUAAUAGCAUAUAGUACUUUUUAGGUUGCUAUAAUACUUUUUAGGCUGUAAAUAGAACUCACUUUUGAGCAACUUCUUUUCGGCAAGUGUACCUAAUCUUCUUCUCAAAGCAUCUUUCUUUCCGCUUCUCACGGAACCUAACAAGAGAUGCAAUUCUCUGAGAAACAGUAGGACUCAAACCAUCAUCUACAGCCUGCAUUCCAUUUCACAUGGUAAGAAUAAAAGUACCUCAGUAGAUUUUGUCCAUAAAAAUUAAAUUAAAAACCAUAAACCAAGAUAUAGUCAAUACCUUAUUAUUCUGUCGUAACAGAAAUUCUGAGCUGGAUACACUAACAGGCAUUUCUUGGCCACCCAAAAGCAACAACACUGCUUGCACCUACAAAUUUUUUAUAUACACAAACGAACUAUAUCACCCAUAGCAUGCAACAGUCAAUCAAUUAAUCUAUCUAUCUACCUAUUUACACACUCAUUCAGCUGAUAUAAUAAUCAUCAUCAAUAAAAUAAAGAAAAACACAAAAAAUAGCAUAAAAGCAUGAAAUUCCAUAAAACAAUCCAAAUGAAAUCAAUUAAUCAAUCUAUUUUAUCCAUCACUCAUUCAGCUAAUAUUAAAUCAAUUUUCGUCAGUAAAAUAAACAAACAACAAAGAAAACUAGCACAAAGGCAUGAAUUCCAUAAAACAAUCCAAAUGCAACAGUCAGUCAAUUAAUCAGUCAACUUAUGUAACUUAUCCAUUUAUUCACUAAUUCAGCUACUAUUACAUCAAUAUUCUUCAGUAAAAUAAACAAACACGCAAAAAUAGCAUAAAAGCGUUAAAUUCAAUAAAAGAUUCCAUUAAUACCAAUGCUCACGCUGAAAAUUAUAACAAAAAUCAAUUUAUUUAUUUUUUUCAAAAAACCUUUUCAGGAGUGACGGCAGGAAAAACAUAAACUUCCCCUUCAAAGGAUAUGGUGAGCUCACUAGUCCUCGAUGCAGGGGUUCUCGAUUGAUAAUUUACAGGAACCGCCAUUGGUGCCGACAUUUCCUCACUACUACUCAUCUUCUCCUCACCGCCGCCACCGAUAUCACCGGCUUCGAAUCCUCCGCCGUUGUCAUGCACUCGUAUUGGCAUGAUCAUAUAGUCCUCACCGUAAGCCCUCGGUUUCAUCGCAUCCAUUUAUUUAUAUAUACACAUAUGCAUGCAUGUAUAUAGUUACAUACACAUAUAUGUCUAUAUCUGUGUGUAUACUGAUUGUAUAUGUGAAAAAACGGAAGACAAAUUCGAACCCUAACCCUAAGGAAACGGUGUACAAAAUUGUCGAGACAAUGAUUAUUGUUCAAUUAAAAAUUGAUUUUGAAGUAAUUAAAAUCUGAUUAUGAAUAAGUGAUUAUUGUGUCAAUGGACGGAAGAAAGAAAAGUACCUAUACUACAAAUUGGGGGAAGCAGAGGAAAUCACGGCCGUUCGAUUGAAAAGGGAUCACGUGAUGGGGACUGAGGUGGGGCCCAGUAACGGAUAGAAUCACGCGACCGGUGGGGUGGCGGAGGUUUUGUUUCUGUUUGAUUCGCUCACGUGUCAAUUAAAGAUCAAACGGUGGAUUAUGGAUCCUAUUUGUAUUUCUUUGAUAAAUUGAAUAGAAUAAAAUAAAAAUGUAAUGUAGAUAAGAAAAAAAGAAAAAUGAGAAAGGAAUGUGUUUUUGGGCUUGUUUGAGUUUUAUAUGUGGUUGAGUUAAUAAUUUGAUUGAAAUGAGGAUUGAUAAGUGUUAAAUAUAUUUUUAUGCUUAUUAUAAACUUGAAUUAUAUUUGUAAAUUUAAGCGAAUUUUUACUUAAUUCAAUGUACAUAAUGUCACGAUGGAUGAAAUUCAAAUUUGGAGUCAUUUGGAACAAAAAUAAGGAUUUUAAGGGCCUAUUUGGUAGUUAUAAUAAUUGAUUUUUUGACCGUUAGAGAGUAAAGUAAGUCCUAUUUGUGAGUGAAGAAGUCAAAAAUGAGGGUUGAAAUAGUGAAAUAACGGUCAAAAAAUUAACUUUUUGAAAUGAAAAAUUGCUGCCAAAUGAGGGUUAAGUCUAAUUGGAGUUGAUCCUGAGGAUUUCAUGGGAGUGAUGAGAAGUAUUAAGAGAGCAAUUAGAUGAAAAGAUGCAUGUUUUGAAAGCGAAAUUCAACUUAUGAAAGUUCGAGGACUAAUUUGCAAACAUUUCAGAAUUUGAAGGAGGAUCAAUUUGGAUGAUUAUGGAUGUUGAUGGAUCAACUUGGAAGCUUUUGAAAGUUUUGGAAUCAAUUUGAAAAUUGGAUCAAAAGGGACCGAAACCGAAUAAAACCUGAAAGGAGAGCACGAUCCAUCCAAAUUCCAAUGCCCAAGCCACACCCCUAUUUGUCAUGGUUAGAACCCCCCCCCCCCCCCCCCCCCCCCCCCCCCCCCCCCCCCCCCCCCCCCNNNNNNNNNNNNNNNNNNNNNNNNNNNNNNNNNNNNNNNNNNNNNNNNNNNNNNNNNNNNNNNNNNNNNNNNNNNNNNNNNNNNNNNNNNNNNNNNNNNNNNNNNNNNNNNNNNNNNNNNNNNNNNNNNNNNNNNNNNNNNNNNNNNNNNNNNNNNNNNNNNNNNNNNNNNNNNNNNNNNNNNNNNNNNNNNNNNNNNNNNNNNNNNNNNNNNNNNNNNNNNNNNNNNNNNNNNNNNNNNNNNNNNNNNNNNNNNNNNNNNNNNNNNNNNNNNNNNNNNNNNNNNNNNNNNNNNNNNNNNNNNNNNNNNNNNNNNNNNNNNNNNNNNNNNNNNNNNNNNNNNNNNNNNNNNNNNNNNNNNNNNNNNNNNNNNNNNNNNNNNNNNNNCCCCCCCCCCCCCCGGGGCGGUUUGCUUACCCCGAUCAGACAGUAGUUGCCCCAGUUCUUUGAGUAUGGCCUUAGUUUGCACUUUGCAAAUCACGCCUCGAUAAGGAAAAGUUAUUUUUUAUUUUUGGGUGGCUUUUUGACACAUGACUUCAAAGUUGAGACAAGUACCAUAUAAAAACUUAUUUUCCGUCACAACGAGGUUUAGCACAUGGGUAAUACAUGAUUCAAAGAUGAGAAAAUAGAAGAAAAAUACAUGGGACGAGAGGAAGGAAGAAAGGGUUUCAAGACUUUUUCAAGGAGAAGGGGGAUUCUCGGUGUAAGAAGAAGAUCUUUUUCUCAUUUUUCCUUUAAUUCCGAUGAUGGACUCUGAACCCCUUUCGUGUUUUUCUUCCACCAUGUUGUGUAACUAAACCAAAAGUUAGGAUGCUUUGAACCUUAAAGUUAAAUUUUAAUGUUUUAAUAUUCAAUUAAUGUGCGUUCAUUGUUUUUUUUUUUUUUUUUUUUUUUUUUUUUUUUUAAUUAAUUCAUUGAUAUGUGAGUAACAUGUUGAGACAUUAGCUAUUUGUUUAGAUCACGUAAUAAACUUGAAAUUUGGGUAGAAAAUAGAGAUACAAUUUUACUAAUUUUGUAAUUCUUAAUUGAAUUUUUUGAUGAUUGAAUGCUUUUAAUUAAGGCUUAUUUUGAUUCACAUAGUGAUCUAGUAAGGUAACUUCACCGAAUAGAAUUUGUAUGAACUCGAGUGAUGGAAAUCAAUUAAUUUAUAAAAAUUCAAUUGGAUACACAUAAUUGAUUGUUGUAUAAAUUUGAGGAUUGAAAUUAAUGGAAUAACUAUGGUGAGCUCGUGAUCCUUAAUAUUUUCAUAUACAAGUAAAAAAACCCUAAAAUUGUUUAUUAGUGCAUUUUUAAUUAAUUUUGUAGAGUUAUCAUAUUGUAAUUAAAAGUAUUUUUAAUUAUUUUUACUUAAAUAGAAGUUACGCAUGGUUAAACUAUUAGUUAGAUAUACAGUUCACGUGAAAAAAAAAUAAAAUAAAAUCUGGAUUAUUAGAUUUACCUUACUACUUAUUUAAUUGACAUCUUACAUUUUCGAUUAUAAGAUAACAAAAAGUGUAUAGUAGUAGUAGGUUCUACGAAAUAUUUAAUUAAAGUUAAUAUAUGACUUUACGAUUUAUUUUUUAGACUUGAAAAUAUUUUUUUCAUAAGAACGAUGAUAUAGAAUUGAGUGACGUGUAAGACGACUCACCCUCGCUCGAGUUGAGAACUUAUAUUUUCCCAUAUAAUAUCAUUUAUUUCCAUUAUCGGGAAAGACACAAAAAUAAUUGCGCAAAAGCACUAGGUUAAGAUAGGAUGACAAUUUUAAUAGGUUGUGUGUCCAUAUAGUUUAAUUUUCCUAUGAUAAAAUAACAAUUCUAUAGUAACUAAAUUCUAUUUUUAUAUAGUAUUAGUGUAUUUUAUUUAAUAUUGAACAUGUGAAUAAUUGAGCCAAACGAUCAUUUAUAAUAAUACAAGUUGCAUGCUUGAAUUGAGAAGCACUGCAUGACAAAACGUAUAUUUUGAUCAUAAAUAAAAUUAUUCACAAUCAAUAUAUAAGAGGAAACACAGUUAUUGACUAUUUUAUUAUUCGAAUUUGAGUUGCUUUUAUAGUAGAAAUAGUUUAAUUGCGACACUAGUGUAUUUGAAGUGUAUUGAACGGACUCUUUGUAAAGUAUAAUUCUAUAGCACGAGUCAUGACCAUUAAAAAAAUUAAAUUUCACUUGAUUGUGAGGUGGACAAGUGGGUAGACUUGAAUAAGUGGGAAGAAUUGAAUUUAAAUUAUGUUGAUUGUGAUGUUUGAUAAGUGCAGAUUUUUGCACUAUUCCAGGCUAUUAAACUUAGAUAUUUGUGAGUUUCAUUAGCGAUUUAUUACUUAAUUUAGUUAUUUUUAUUAUGUAGGUGAAAAUCAGAUUUUGAACAAUGAUUAGAAGGUAUUUAUGCGAGAAAAGAUGAAAAGGCUAAAUGAAGCAUGAAGAUGUUGAAAGAGGAUGUUUCUAUUUAAAAAUAAAAAAAUAAAAAUUCAGUGAGCUGACAGAAACUGUGGCGCCCAAGAGCCACUGUUUCGUUGCCUAGGCGCCACUCGGAUCGUUUUUAAUUGUUUUCAAAAUCUCAGGGGCCAAUGCUACAAUUUCCUUUAAGUUUUAGUUUAAAACAUUCAACCAAACAUAAAACUUCUCGUUCUUGAAACUUAAGGGGAGCAGCUGACUCUUCUUCUUCUUGUCUUUUAUUUUCUUUCUUUUUCCUUUCUCUUUCACCUAUAUUUUCUUAGAUAUUUUGGGGAAGAUUGGAACAUGGAGAUGGUGCAUUAGCUUGGAGAAGAUGACCCAUUGAUAUUGAAGGAUUUUCUCCAAUUUCUCUCUUUAUCAAUAAGUUUUUCUUUUCACUUUUUCCAUCAAUAUUUUGUAAGAAAUUGUUAGUUAUUUGUGAAUAUUUUGUCAAUGUUUUCUUUUCAUGGGUAACUAUUUAUAUUUGUGAUUGGGGAUUAUUUCAAACCCGAGUUAUGAUUUUCAAUUAAUUUGUGUUUUAUAAUUCUCUUGAUUAAUGUGUUUAACUCAUUGUGUUAAAUGUUUAUUUUGUUCUUCUUGAUUGUUUAGGUGUAUAACUAAAUGAUUAAGUUGUUUCGAUGAAUGCUAUUUUGGGAUUAGUAGUACAUAAUAGCUAUUGAUUCUAAAAUCUAGUAGCAAUUACAUUUCGAUAGAUUAUGAAAUUUUUUCAAUUGAAUGUAUGUGGAUUUACACUUAAGUUAGUAAACCGAGCUUGCGAGUUUACCUUUAAUUCAAUUCAUCUCUUUUGUCGUAAUGCGUUUGUUAAAUUAAAUCUAGAGAGCUUAUUCUAAGUUGUUUAAUGAAUAUGGUUGAGUAAAGAGCUUGUUUUAUGCAACUAACAUGUAAGAAGAGAUUGAGGUAAUUGGGCUUGUAAUUAUUCUCGAAUUAUUAUUAAUCCUAAUAACGAAAAUCUAUUGUGAUUAUUGACAUGAAAAUCAUUCUCGUGGUGACGAAAUAUCCCCCAAUCAUAUUUUCUCACAUUCAAUCAAUAACCAAUUUGUUUAUUCCAAAUUCCAAGUCUUUUCUAAUUUAAAAUUAUUGCUUUCCUUAGUUCAACAAACCAAACCCUCUCAUUUUAUCUAUUUUGUAUAUUAUUAUUAAUUUUACUUUUUAGUGUGUAAUCGACAUAAUUGAAUCAAUCCUCUGCAGGAAAUGACCUCUACUUGCCAUAAUACUAUUUAAGACGACACAUUUACGUUAAGUAAGGAAAAUUAAUUGGAACGUAAUUUGCAACGUAUCAAUUUUGGCGCUGUGUCGUCGGGAUUGUUCUAUCAAUUUGUUAAUUGCAAUAUUUUUCUUUUUGUUGUUUUUCUAUUUAUUUUUCUUAUUUUCUUUGUCAUUAGGUUGUGAAUGAGCACCUAUAACACACUACAACCUAAGAUCAAGAAAAGAGGCCGACACAUCAGAAAGUGGAGAAGACAUUUCUCCAACUAGACAUCUAAGGUGAUUGAGCAUUGAAUCCUCAAGUGACUCCGAACACAUAGAGCCCGAAAUGACGGAUGCAAAACGGACCUUAAAGGAACUUGCAGUUCCAACCUUUGUUCAACAACCUCUAUACAUUCAAUGUCCUCAAGUAGAGGCGGGAUUUGAACUAAAGUCCGGGAUGAUUCAUCUACUUCCCACAUUUCAUCGAUUUGCCGGGGAGGAUCCAAAUAAGCAUUUGAAAGAGUUUCAUGUGGUUUGCUCAAGCAUGAAACCGACGGAUAUAUCGGAAGAACAAGUGAAAUUGCGGGCAUUCCCUUUCUCUCUUGCAGACACUGCUAAGGAAUGACUCUAUUAUUUGCCGAUCGGUCUUAUUACCAAUUGAAAUGAAAUGCAAAAGCUCUUCUUGGAGAGGUAUUUCCCAGCUUCAAAGGCUACAAAUAUCAGGAAAGAAAUCUAUAACACUCGACAAUCUCAAGGGGAAAAUCUCUAUGAGUAUUAGGAGAGAUUCAAAAGGCUAUGUGCUAGUUGUCCAAACCACCAAAUCAGUGAGCAAUUACUUCUACAAUACUUCUAUGAAGAAUUACUCCCGAUGGAGAGAAGCAUGAUGGAUGCGGCUAGUUGAGGAGCUUUAAUGGAUAAAACACCGGUAGUUGCUAGGGAUUUGAUAGCCAACAUGGCUGCAAACUUACAACAAUUUGAUAGUAGAGAAUUGGCACCGGUUAAACAAGCAAGUGAGGUAGGAGCAAUCUCUCAAAUUGAACGACAAUAAGCUGGUUUUACAUCACUUGUGUAACAAAUGGCGCUUGGUACAAUGCAACAAGCAAAAGUGUGCGAAAAUUGUUCUAUUGUGGGACAUCCUACCUAUGCGAGCCUCAGAGCAAGCGAAUGCCAUUGGGGGAUUUCCAAUGCAACAGGGACAUAGAUAUGAUCCAUAUGCUAACACUUCCUAAUCUUAGUUACGGAGGAAAUCAUUUCAUAGCUCCACAAUCACAGUUUAAUCAUUCCUCGAGGUUCAAUCAACAAAGGCUACCACAACACUCUCAACCUCGUCAACAAACUUUGUCUCAAAGUUCAGAGAUGUCUCUUGAAGAUAUGGUGAAGUCCUUAGCUUAUAGUACAAUGCAAUUUCAACAAGAGACAAAAACCUCAAUUAAGAAUUUGGAGACACAAGUGAGUCAAUUGGCCAACACGGUGGGUAAAUUGGAGGCUCAAGGAUCGGGAAAACUCUCUUCUCAAGCAAUCAACCCGAGAGAAAAUGCUAGUGCCGUGACACUAAGAAGCGGAAAUUUUUUGGAAGAGGCACCAAGGAAAAUGAAAGAUCAAGUUGAGGAGUCAACGUAAUAGAAGAACUUAGCAUGUGAGAAAGAUGAAGCUAAGACUCCAACCUCGGGAUCUAAGGUAGAUUCUAAAAGUCCUAUUCCUACUUAUGUUCUUUCUCCUCCAUUUCCUGACAGGUUUGCAAAGUCCAAAAGGGAUGAACAUGAGAAGGAAAUAUUGGAGAGUUUUCGCAAGGUUCAAGUGAACAUACCAAUUUUGGAUGCCAUUUAUCAAGUGUCACGUUAUGCAAAGUUCCUCAAGGAAUUGUGCACUAACAAGCGUAGAUUGAAAGGUAAUAAAGUGAUAAGCAUAGGAGAAAAUGUCUCGACGGUCUUGUAAAAGAAACUUCCACCAAAAUGUAAGGAUCCAAGAAGUUUUACCAUCCCUUACAUUAUUGGUAACACUAGGUUUGAAAAAGCAAUGCUAGAUUUAGGAUCAUCUAUUAAUGUCAUGCCAUAUUCUAUUUAUGCUUCUUUAAAUUUGGGAUCACUUAAGGAAAUCGGUAUUAUUAUUCAACUUGCUGAUAGAUCUAAUGUAUUUCCAAAAGGUGUGUUAGAGGAUGUUUUGGUGCAGGUAAAACAAUUGAUUUUUCCAAUAGAUUUGACAUGCAAGAUGAAUCAACAUCUCUAAUGCCACCAUUGCUCUUGGGAAGACCAUUUAUGAGGACUGCGCGUACAAAGGUAGAUGUACAUGACGGUACUUUGACAAUGGAGUUUGACGGUGAGAUUAUUCGCUUCAAUAUCUUUGAAACAAUGAGGUAUCCUAGUGAUGUUCAUGCUUGUUUUUCAAUAGAUAUAAUGAAUUCAUUAGUGCAAAAAAAGAAAAAAAAAAUUCAAAUUAUCAAACGGAGAUACAUUGGACACCACUUUGAUUAAAAGCAUUGAUGUUGAUAAUCUCACCGGGUUGAUCAAGAAUCUACAAAUGUGUGAGGAUAUUGUUGAAACCGUAGCAUCACUUGAGUCACUACCAAGUAUUCCACCAAGGUACAAUCUCUCCUGUAUUACUCUUUCGAUAUCUAAAGAGAAACUUUUACCUUUGGUGAUGCAGGCCCCCACUUUGGAACUCAAACUUUUUCUCGAGCAUUUGAAGUAUGUUUGGGAGAGGGGGAAACAACACCUGUGAUCAUAAUAAAGAACCACACAACAUUUUUUUUUGUGAAUUUUUGUCGCUAAUGGUCCCCAACCAUCAUCACAGCCAUCACCAUCAUCACCACUAGGGGAGUAUUUGAACCACUUGUGCUUUCUAUUUCUUUUUGCUUUUACAUUGAGGACAAUGUGCAAUUUAAGUUUGGGGAUGAAGUGGUAUGUGCUAAAUUUUUUUUUUUUUGUGAAAUUUGGUGGUUUGUGCUAAUUUUGUUCUCGCUAAAACUCAAAAAAUUCGGGUUAAACACUUGUUUUUAUGCUUGUUUGUGUUGUUUGAUAGUUUUGCCAAUUGCAUUUUGAUUUAUGAAUUGGGAACAUGAAUGCUAAGUGUUGUUUAUUUUCAUCCACUUAUUCCAUGAUUGACUUUUUAUUGAGUACUUGGGUCAUGAGAUUCAUCACACACACUUGUUGGUUGCACUUGUAGGUUGUUAACGAACUUAAAUGACCAUACUAUUAGAAAUUCUUCAAUUACUCUACCAAUGAAAGGGUAGGCUUGGGGAUGGUUGAACCGGUGAAAGAAAUUAUUUAGAAUUGUAUUAAUUAUUGACUGAGUGAUUGAUUUUGUGGAAUGUUCAUAGAUUUCAAAUGAAAGUUAGAUGUUGUUUUCCAUCUAUUGAUAAUUCAAUAUAUAUAUGAAAAAGUUGCCUACCCUAAGGAGUGUGAGUCAACAUUGAGUAAUCUGGCCUUAUGUAUCACUAAUGUGUAGGAAACGAUCUACAAAUGAAGAAUGCUACCCUUAGGGAUCAGAGCAAGAACUACCUACAUUGGAAAAAUGAAGAAAAAGAAAAGGGAUGCUAUAAGCAUCUAGGGGUGAUGUUGUUGAAGAAUUGAUGGAUUGUGAGUAAUUUGCCUAACACAAAUUUGUGGUUUAAGCACUUAAAAUUUUUGGCGAAUUAAUACAUGACUAGAUGAUCUAUUUUAUUGGUUCAAUCCAACCAAAUUUGAGAGGGAAAGAUUGAGUGACUUAAGGGCAAUCUUAAGUUUUUGACACCUUGGGCUAGAGUGAAAAUAUCAAGUUUGGAAGAAUGUGUAUCCCACGAGUGAGAAAGGAAAAUUUGACCACGAGGGUCAGGAAAAUCACCAACUUAUGUAUUGCGAUGAAUUGGAAUGGCCACACACACACACAAGUCAAGCAUGGUAUAAGUUAAAGAGUGUUUGUUGUAGUAUUUUUGUAAACAUUACAUAAGUUAGUUGCAUAAUCUAAGACUUGAAGUAAAGUGGCAAACUAUCUAACAUUUGGAAGUGUUUGUUAUUAUAGUAUUAUUAUUUGGUUUUAAUUUACGUGUUUGUAUGCUUGUUUGUAUAGCUUUGUUCAAGGACUAACAAAGAUUUAAAUUUGGGGGUGUGAUAAGUACGGGUUUUUGCAUUAUUUCGGGCCAUUAAACUUAGAUAUUUAUGAGUUUCAUUAGCGAUUUAUUACUUAAUUUAGUUAUUUCUAUUGUGUAGGUGAAAACCCGACACUGAAAGAGGAUGUUUCUAUUCAAAAAAUAAAUAAAAUUCAGCGAGUUGGGCGCCGAAGAGAAAACAGAAACUAUGGCGCUUGGGAGCCAGGCGCCACCCGAGCCGUUUUUAAUUGUUUUCAAAAUCUCAGGGACCAAUGCUACAAUUUCCUAUAGGUUUUAGUUUAAAACAUUCAACCAAACAUAAGACUUCUCAUUCUUGAAACUUAAGAGGAGCAGCUGGUUCUUCUUCUUCUUCUUCUUCUUCUUGUCUUUUGUUUUAUUUCUUUUUCUUUUUCCUUUCACUUAACAUUUUUAGACAUUUUGGGAAAGAUUGGAACAUGGAGAUGGUACAUUAGCUUGGAGAAGAUGACCAACUGAAAUUGAAGAAUUUUCUACCAUUUCUCUCUUUAUCAAUAAGUUUUUCUUUUCACUUUUUUCAUCAAUGUUUUGUAAGAAAUUAUUAGUUAUUUGUGAAUAUUUCAUGGGUAACUAAUAUAUUUGUGAUUGGGGAUUAUUUCAAACCCGAGUUAUGAUUUUCAGUUAAUUUGUGUUUUAUAUUUCUCUUGAUUAAUGUGUUUAAUCCAUUGUGUUAAAUGUUUAUUUUGUUCUUCUUGAUUAUUUAGGUGUAUAACUAAAUGAUUAAAUUGUUUCGAUGAGUGCUAUUUUGGGAUUAGUAGUACAUAAUAACUAUUGAUUCUAAAACUUAGUAGUAAUUACAUUCGAUAGAUUAUGAAAAUUUUUCAAUUGAAUGUAUGUGGAUUAACAUUUAAUUUAGUAAACCGAGCUUGCGAGUUUACCCUUAAUUCAAUUAAUCUCUUUUGUCGUAAUGCUUUUGUUAAAUUGAAUUUAAAGAGCUUGUUCUAAGUUGUUUAAUGAAUAGGGUUGAGUAAAGAGCUUGUUUUAUUCGACUAACAUGUAAGAAGAAAUUGAGGUUAUUGAACUUGUAAUUAUUCUCGAACUGUUGUUAAUCUUGAUAACGAAAAUCUAUUGUGAUUAUUGACAUGAAAAUCAUUCUCGUGGUGACAAAAUAUCCCCCAAUCACAUUUUCUCACAUUCAAUCAAUAGCCAAUUUGUUUAUUUUAAAUUUCAAGUCUUUUCUAAUUUAAAAUUAUCGCUUUCCUUAGUUCAACAAACCAACCCCCCAUUUAAUCUAUUUCGCAUAUUAAUAUUAAUUUUACUUUUUAGUACGUAAUUGACAUAAUUGAAUCAAUCAUUUGCGGGAAAUGACCCUUACUUGCCAUAAUACUAUUUAAGACGACACGUUUACGUUAAUUAAGAAAAAUUAAUUGGAACGCGAUUUAUAACGUAUCAAUGUUUAGUGAGGCUGGGGAAAAGGGCUCAAUUGGACAUGUAAUUCUAAUUUAGUGCCACUUACAUUUGGUUCGUUAAAUUAAAAUAACUCAACAUAUAAUGAUAAAAAUCUAAUGUAAUUGUGGAAAAUUUCAUAAUUAAAUGUUUAAGUAUCACACAUUUUAAAAUUAAGAAAAUAAGUUUCAAACUUCGAAAAUCAAUUUUUUGUUAGAAUUUAUCUAUGAUUUAAUUAUUUUAUUAAUUAAAUAUAUUUAGAUAUUAAUUAUUUUAUUAAUUAAAUAUAUUUAGAUAACAGAUCUAUAUACAAAUUAACAAUUUAAUUAGUUACUUAUUAUUUAUUGGUCACAAAUCAAAAAUUGUAUAUCACGAAUUAUUUUAUGAUCACAAUUCAAAAAUUUUAUAGGUCAUAGUUUGUUUAUCGGUCACAAAUCAAAAGAUUAAUUAAUCACAGAAUAAUUAUUAGUCACAUAGAUCACAUAUUAUUUUUCAGUCACAUAAUCAGAACUUUUACUUGUCACAACUCAUUUAUUCAUUACAAAUUAUUAGAUUAAUUGGUCACGAUUAAUUUUUUGAUUACAACUUAAUAUAUUAUGAGUCACAAGCACAAAUUUGGGUCACAUAUUAUUUAUUUAUCACAAAUUAACUAAUUAUUGGUCACAUUCAACCAAUUGGUAGGUCACAAACACCCUAGAACACUUGUGACCAUCACCUAGCCACUUUUUGCAGUAGCACCAUUGUCGCUAUCACCGUCGCCAUAACUACCACCACUGUUACCUCCCGACGGCAACAUCACCACCUCAAAUCAAAACAUUGUCGCGCCAUAUCCACCACCACCUCAAUAGACCCAUUGCCAACAUCUCACCACCCACAAUAUCCACCACCACCGCCACCGCCACCAACAAAACCAUAAUCACAACUAUAUCAAAUGUAACCGCCGUCACCGUUGGAUCCAACAAAGCCGUCGCCACCCAAACACCACCACCAUUACAACCCCAUGUACCUACUGAAAGCAUACCCAAAAACCCACCAGAUCGUGGAGCUGCAGAUUCCAGCCACAGUGCACAGUAGAUCUCGGCCACGGCGACUCAGUUGUGCAACUUGUGAGCUUCGAGCCACAUUGUCAAAGGCUACCACAAUCUCAACAACAUCACAGUUAGCACCACGAUCACCAUCUGUACCAAGAAUCACCAUCUCCAUUUCCAUCUCCACACCACACCACACCACACCACACCACACCAUAACAACGAAAAAAAUCCCUAAACUCAAUGUCUGCCACUGCUACACCACUACACCACAGCACCACCAAAAAAUCCCCAAACUCGACAUGCAUGCUGUCGAAGUAGAUGAGGCCAUAGAUCUAGUUGCAGUGUGAGCGAUAGAAGCACUAUCGUCGCUGAGAGUCGGCAACACCUGGAGGAUGACGCCACCGUAGAAGUUGAAUGAAAAGAGAUAGACUCUGGUGGUUUUGCACAUGAUCGUUGCAGUCAGCGAUCAUGUACAACGGUGAUGUUGCGGUUGCGCCAGGUUUGAAGUCUCGGAGAGAGAAGACGGUGCAGCACCAGAUCAGGAAGAGAGGCUGUGAAGAGUAGAGGAGAGAGAAGAAAUUGAUUAAGGUUUUGAAAUGAUAUUUGUAUAAUUAAUAUUUAAAUAUAAAAUAUUUGAUUUUUGAAAUGUUAAAUUACCCAUCUGAUUUUAGAAUACAAGAUUUUAAAGGUAGGUUAUUGUAUAAUUUCCACUUUUUUAUUUUAUUUUAUUUUGUCCAGCUACUAAACAUGCUCUUAGCACUUAUAGUAUAAACACCUAAGUCAUAUUUUUCUCAUCAAAUCUUUUAUUUUUGUUAUUUUUUUAAAAUGCAGCCAAAAUGUGACAAAUUUAGCCCCUUUUAUGUGGGGGUUAAAAAUCAGAUUUUUAAUAUAUUUUGAUAAAAAUUGAUGAAAUGUAUGAUUAAAAAGUUAUAAAUCCUAUGAAAAAUAUAGUUAAAAUUAAUUGUCGACUUUCACUUAUAUUAAAAUAUAGAUUUUAAUUCUUAUCAAACAGGGACUUAGUGGGGAAUUGGGUGAAAUCGAUUAGAGAAUUUUAUAUAAUUCACGGAAGAGGUUUGGCCAUUAAGUAUUGACCUUCGAAUGCAUCUAUAAAUAUUCAAGACAAUUGACUUAUCAAUUUUUCUCAAAAAGCAAACUUCUAAUUUUGACAUUAAAGCCUGAAUCAAGUCACUUAGAACGAAUAAGAGUGGUGGUGUAUAAUGAACAGACACAUGCCAGACACAAAAUAUUGGCCAUGUCCAAGUUAGAUAAAUUUAAUUAGGGACUCGAGUUGGAUUGUGGACGAGCCAUUGAGCUCGAAGGAGUAUAUUUUAGCUUUUUCUAUUUAUUUUGAGCAGUGCAUGCUCAAUUACAAUCUUCAAAGGCCAAAUAAUCCAGUAUCUAACCCUUUUUGAAUUGGAUUGAUUUGAACAAUUUAAUUUACUUUAGCGAAAAACACUAUCAUAUUUAGAAUCUUUCUGCGGUGUGCUCCGUUUACUAUUCUUUCGUACUUUCUUCUUUUUACCAUGCAAUAGGUCAGCGAAGCGUGAGCGGGCGGGGAGAAGGAAAGGCCAAACACUUCGAACGGGCUCCGUUUGGGCUUUCCAGUCUCCUUCCCUUUAAUUGCAUGAGAUAAGGAAAAUGAGAUCAUCCUCUUUCUCUGGCCGAACAGCAAAAUAAAAAAGAAUUCGGCUAAAAAAGCUGGGGCGAUUUCUUCCUUUCCUGCUGGACGAAGGGGGGGGGGGAGGGGAAAGCUACAGGCUAAAAAGUUUCGACCCUUCUUUCGGGGCACCUGUCAACUCCAGUCUCUUCCUUUCUUCCAUCAAAAUGAAAAGACAAUAACUCCUUUCGUCGAUCAAGACUGGAUUGCAGGGCAGGGCUUCCACUCAAAGAGGAAAAGAUUAAUUAAGCCUAAUCGUUUAUUCUCAAACAAUUCAACCAUUCUUUUCAAAACUAGACUAGAAUGAACUGUUUCAACUAGAAAGCUUGAAAAUGGUUUUAAGUUGAUUUGGUUAUAAAAUGAAGAUCAAAAGGUUCAAAAAAUUCAAAAUAACUAUAAACCAGCUGAUUCACCAAAUAAUCUUUUGUUUAACUCUUGAUUCAUCUCCAAAAUCCAUAUCCCUUUCUUUUUUUGAAAUUGAGAAUCAAGUCGAUUUUUAAUAAAUUGGUGUCAAUUUUUUAUUUUUAAUCAAUGUCACUAAUGUGGCUAUUUUAUAUUAUAAUAAAGCAAAUAUAUAAAUAAAUAAUAAUAAUAAUAAAAGGAGUAUGCAUAUAUCUGGCCUCCAGCAAAUAAAAGAAGCAACAAUCAAUCAAAUGUACCAAACAACCAAAGCAAAAGCAAUAAAUACAAUGGAGGAAAGUAAAUGCAGACUCCUUCAUAGUCAUGUGGCCUCGUACCCGUUUUCUUUUACAUAGAACGAAUCAUGCACCUACUCUAGUAAAUGUCAAAAUAAUACUCCUCUGGUCCCACAAAAUCAAUGGAUAUCUUGCUGUGCAUGGGAACAAUAUACUUCAUGGUGGAAAGAAAUGAGGUGUAUAUGAUCUCAUCUUGGUAGGAGUAGGUGCUGACUCUAUUCUUCGUGUCCCGUAAGUGCCCCUUUUUUAACUAAUGAAUGGUCAUCCUCAACAUUAAUCUUGCAAUCACCAAGACCCAUCCUAAAUUCUAGCUGUAGAUAAUGUUAGACUAAGGACAAUAGGAUCGGUAGAUAAAAACUUAGAUUUCCUACCACCUAGGUUGGAAACCAAGUCUUUAAUGGUAAAUUUUAUAGUGAAACCAACCUUUAUGCGAUGCCUUUUAUUGACGUGAUCUGUCAACACAAGCUUUGAUGACGAACUCAUCUGUACUAAUGUCGCCCAACAAGCCCUCAGUAAAGGCUUGGGAUAAUAUCUCUGUAUCGCUCCUGAGGCUGGAACUUGAUCUCUGUGAUGAUAGAAUCUUCUUUAAAGGUGUCUCCAAUGAAGGAUAAUUGAUAUGUGUAGGCUCGAGGAUGCCGCAGUGCAAAGAGAAGCAAUAACAGGUGUAGAAGUAAUAGGAUGGGGUACCUCAAUAAGUGCUAAUGGAGCUGGCUCGGUGUCUUUGAGAAUCUGUAGAAAACUAUGUAGGAGGCUAGGAUCUGGAUAAAGUACCGAAUGAGACACUCUAGAUGUAGAAGGAUGCUCUGUUAUUAGUGUAGUAAGAGCAGGUGUUGUUAGUAUAAUAGAAGGAAUUGCAAUUGAAAUAGUGGAGAAUAUAGAAUGAACAACAAAAACUGGUACCCACUACUUCAUCGAUCAACAAAAGUCACCUUGUCUUUAUACUUUUUUUUUUUUUUAAUAUCGGGAAAUGUAAAUUUCAUGCACAAGUACACCGGAUAUACCUGGGCAAAACAAAGCCAAUGUUAUAUACAAUUACUCUUGACAUACCCAGGUGAACCAAAAAUAAAUGAAGUACAAUGAAAAUCACUGACCCAACAUUAAGGAUUCGAAAUAAAUCAAAACAUUUGGAUACAAAGAGAACAUAACUUUGUAUACGCGUGUCUUGAUUUGUCUCACAAUACAAUCCAAGUGAGGUGAAAGGUCUUCGAAAAAUCUUCAUGUUCCGUGCUAACCAAAUGUAGUAUACAGUACUUGCAAGUACAAUCUUCUUAGCCUUGCUGAGCCAUGAUGUCCCAUGAGCCUCUUUUUUCAUCCACUUCAAAGCAUUAGCAAGUGUUGAUAUGGAUCUUCUGAUGUCGAGCCACUAUUUGAUCUUUCCCCAUAAGGUAGAGGUGAAUGUACAUUGAAAGAAAAGGUGCUAGCCUGUUUUCACUGUAUGUCCGCAUAGAACACAAUUUCAGUCAAUGUCCAAGUAUCACAAUUUUUCUUUAGUGAGGAGUUUUGAUUGAACUCCUAACCAAAGCAAAAAAGAGUGCUUCGAUGUAAUGCAAGAGCUCAAAACAUCCGCCACCCAGAUUUUCUUUGUUCCUCUUGGUUGGAAGAAAUCGUAUGCCAUACUCUUGCACAAUUUUCACUUGAAGACCAAGUUGUGAAUCUGUCUAAAACUGUUUGACUGAGCUUAAUAUCCGAUUGUGGUAUUGCAUUUGUCCGAACAACACCAUUAAGCUGAUUUGAGGCUAACAGCCUGGAAAAACUAAGCAACUCCUGGCCUCCACUUGGCUGGACCCCACAAGCAAUCCCUGUGCACAAAACUGGACAGAAACAUUAGAUUUUAACACCGCGUCCCUGAUUUUCAGUAGCUUUUUGAAUAGAGGGGAGUCGUCUUUCUUUGGUGAAACCUCCCAAAUACUAGCUUCUUUAAGAUAAAAUUGAUUAACCCAACGUAUCCAAAGGGUAUCAUUUUUUGAUGAAUAUUCCAAAGAGAUUUAGCAAGUAAAGUUGUGUUCCAACGCUUCAUGUCUUUCAACUCGAGACCCCUUUCAUUUUUUGGUAAGCAAACGUCCUUCCAAACUACUAAAGGUUUUUUGGAGCCGCAAAGAAAUUUUCGACAAAAACUAAUAAUUUUUGAAAUAAUUGUAGCCAGGAUAAAAAAAAAUAGAAAGCCAAAAACAUUCAACACCUUGAAGAACCGCCCUAAUAAGUUUAACCUUAUCGGCAUAAGAUAAAGACGAGCAGUUCCAAGCACCAAUAUAAGCUGCAAUUUUAUCAAGGAACGGAGCAUAACAACUGACUUUGAGCCUCUCUGAAGUAAAAGGUAUAUCAAAGUAACGGAAUGGCAUAGUACCUUUCAGGAAGUUCGUGAGUUCAAGGAUAGCAUCAACCUCUUGCCCAUGAAUAACAACUGUAUACAAGCUAAAUUUUAAAAUGUUCAUCCUUAAACCCGAUGCUAGACCAAAGUUUGAGAAGCAAUCCAUAAGAAUUUGCACCGACAUAACAUCUCCCAUUGCAAAGAGCAUCAAGUCAUCUACAAAAGCUAAAUGAGUGAUCUUUAAAGGGCCACAUUUAGGGUGAUAAUUGAAUACACUAUCAUUUGUGGCAGCCCUACCCAUUCCAGAAAAAUAUUCAAGACAAAGCACGAACAAAAAGGGGAUAAAAGAUCACCUUGCCGGAAGCCUUUCCCAUCUUUGAAGAAGCCAUGUAUACUCUCAUUCAAAGUUAUGGAAUAUGUUGGAGAAGUAACGCAUUCCAUAACGGAUUGUAUAUAUCUCGAAGGGAAAUGCAACCUUUCAAGUACUCAUUUAAGAAAAUCCCAACUUACAGAAUCAUAAGCUUUCCUUAGAUCAAUCUUUAGGAGGCAUCUCGGAGCAACCCUCUUUCUAUUAUAUUGUCUCAUGAGUUCUUGGGCAAGAUGAAUAUUUUUCGUAAUACUCUUACCAUCAACAAAAGUGACUUGUGCAUGAUCCACAAUGUUCCCCAAAAGAGGCCUUAAUCGAGAAGCAAGAAUUUUAGUAAUCACUUUGUAGAUAACAUUACAGCAAGAUAUAGGUCUAUAAUCCCCAACGUUAGGUGCGUGACUUGACUUUGGCACCAAAACAAUAACCGUGUGGUUGAUUUGUUUGAGGAUGGAUCCCGAUGAGAAGAAUUCCAUGAUAGCCACCACAAAAUCAUAUUCAAUAGUUCCCCAUGUUUUUUUAAAGAAACAUGAGGUGUGACCAUCUGGUUCGAGAGAUUUAUCACCUCCUAUACCAAAAAGUGCUUCUUUGAUCUCAUCACUAGAAAUGUCUCGAAUCAAUUAGUUGGCUUGUUCCAAAGAUACCAAAGGCCCACUACUAAUAAUGUCCAGCUCAAUAGUCUGAACUGGACAGCUUGUGCCCAGCAAUUUGGUGUAAAAUUGGAUAAAUUGUCGAGCAACCUGGUCUUGUGAAGUAGUAUACAUCCCAUCCUCUUUGAGCACAGAAGCAAUAAAGUUUCUCAUUGUGUUCCUUUUCACCACUGAGUGAAAGAAUUUUGUACACUUGUCACUUUGUUUAAAGAAAAUGCACUUUGCUUGUUGAUCUACAUUCUACUUCGCAUAAUCCCAUGGCUUUUUUUUUCUCAAACUUGUCCCCAUAAUUUGAUAAUGCUCGUUCAUUGGCUGAUCAUGAAGCUUGAGUUGCACAGCCUCCAAUUCUCCUUUUGACUCAUUUGCUCGAGUAGAAAUGUGCCCUAAGUGUUUAACAUUAGCUCCUUCAAUGCUCCUUUUAACUUGUGCAACGUUUUACAAAGAACAAAUUGUUUUGUCCCCACCACAUCAAAAUUCCAUCUUGCUUGAACAAGUCAAUGGAAAUCUUCACGAUUUGUCCACAUGUUGAAGAAUUUGAAUGAUUUCCUAGUGUUUACCUCAUAGUCAUUAAUAGACACUAUGCAUGGAGAGUGGUUGGAAAGGCACUCGAAAGGUAAAAAAUCAGCAAGGCCAUAUGCACCAUUUUGUACCCAAAUGUCAUUCACCAUAGCCCUAUUAAUUUUGCUCCACACCGAAUUAUUAGUCCAUGUGUAAAGACAACCAAUGGAUUGUACAUCUAUGAGACCAACAUGAAGGCAAUAAUUAGCAAAAUCUUUAAUUUCAUAAGGGGUUACCUCCGUACUGUUGCUUUUCUCAUCAAAUUUGAGUACGUUGUUAAAAUUACCAAGAAUCAUCCAAAGCAAUGAAACAUUUGCAUUAAAAUCCAUGAUGUUGUUCCAAAGUAGCCUUCGGCUAAUAGUUGUAUGAAAAGUAUAAACAACACUAACAAGAAAGGUAAAAAAUGUUACCUUGCAAGUAGCGAUACAAUGGAUGAUUUGUGGAGUGGUCUCCAAAACUUUCAAUUUGACAUUGGAUGGAUUCCACAAGAUCAAAAUCCGUUCGGCUCUGUGACAAAAAUAAUUGACUUGCAUAAAACCAUCAAAUUUGUUCCACAUAACUCUAUUCAACUUAGUUUCUCCAAGCUUUGUCUCCAAAAUACCAAUAACAUCAAUGCAAUGUAACUUAAUGAAAUCCUGAAUCCCAUUUUGUUUUGGUGGCAGGGGAAAUCCAAACCCAUAAUAUUCCACGAUGUAAUCUUCAUGAUGUUGAAGCAAGGGAGGUACCCUUCUUCUUGUCAAAUUAAGUCUCCCCUUUUCUCAUCUCAUCAACCUUUCCUUUGAGCUUUUCAUUGCAUGUUUGUUUGGAGGCCGCCCUUCUCACGUUGGACGUAGAAUCUGCCUCACAAUUAUCUAUUUGACAGCUUUCACUUGUCGGCACUUGAGAAGGUACAAUAGUUGUUGAAUUCUUCCCAUGACCAGCCCCUAUUUUCUUAUUAACUACCUCAAUGAAUGGACCGUCUACUUGGUCCAGAAUCUGCCCCUGCUGGGCAUUUACAACAUUCGAAUGUAGCUGUGUAAACUUUUGAUUCAGAGGCUGCCCCUGUUGAUUGUCCAUGUCCAUAGCCUGUUGUCCCUCAUUUCUAGCUGGAUUUACUUUUGAGAUUGUAUUGCUGUCUUAGAUGAAAAUCGCAGCAAAUUAGAAGCUGUAUAAGUCUGCCCAGCCCACAUGUUCUUCAUUUGUGCCGCCGGCAUGGGAAGAUUCAAUGUCUUGCCAUUUAUGGUGUUCCCUUUGUCACCCACAUCCUGUUUGUUGUGGUUGCAACCAGGAGUAGAGUGUCCAAACAAUUUACAAGAACUACAAAACUUUGGCUCAUUCUCAAAAAGAAUUUCUUGCUUCCUCAAAAUGCUAUUUAGAAGCCUUAUUUUUACUACCUGCACAAGCUUAAUAGAUGUAUCAACUUCGACUAGUGCUCUUGCAUAGGAUAGUCAACCUCUAGUUUCCAUGACCAUAUCGGUCGAGAUGGGUUUACCCACUUUGGAGACUAUCUUACCCAAAGUACUUGUGUUCUAAAACUCCAAAGGCAGUCCCAGUAAGUUGAUCCAAACUGGCAUAGUGCUAACAUCUUUGUCAUCAAAAUCAAAGUAAAGGGCAUGACUUUUAACAUUAACGAUCUUCUAAAUACCAAGUAGGGACCACCAUGCAACAAGAUAAGUCUUUUCGAAUUCGUCUUAAACUUAAACACCAACCACCCGCAUGAGUGCACAUAAUAUUUGUAUUUAACCUUCCACGAAUCACACAAUUAGAGUAAGGUCGUUUUCCUAGAAAAAAUACCCAACAAGACCAUAUCCCCAAGUCUUCUCGAUAUUAUCUUCAUCCGAUUCGCCCAAAACCACUUCUUCCGAUUGAUUUUCGAAGGGCUUCAACUUAAUAUUUUCCUCCACUUUCUUAUUGUCCUUGAAGAGGUUUACCUAUGGUGCAUUAUCAUUUUUUUACACCAUCAACCCCGACAACAUUUUAUCCUUGUUGGUUCUUCAAUUCUGUCGUAUGUGACUCAAAAUCAGAUUUCUCAGAUUCCGUAUCGUCUUUCCCAAGUGUUAAUGAUACACUAAGCGAGGAUAAAUUCUUCUUAUUAUUCUCAACCAAACUGAGCUUCAAAGGGACGUCAACACCAUUUCUAACAUCCAACUACCGAACUUUCCGGGGUUUGAGAGGUGCUAGCCCAAUUUCUUGCCCAUUCAAAAUAGAAAACGACACCACAAUAGCCUAGCAAGAGAGAUAGCUGGGCAAGGAAGCCCAUGUCCAGAUGAAAAGACCCAAUGGGAAAUUUAAAUAACCCAAAAGACCAGGCCAAACAAGCCUAAAAGGAGGGGAUUUGGGUCGGGUCAGUAGGGAAUCCAGAAAAGCCAAAAAGGAAACUGCAAAUAAUCCAUAAGGCUGCGAAUUCGGAGUGCCAAACACUGACCUAAGAAAGAAAUCUGAAAGGUAGGCUAACCAAAUUCAAAAUUCAACCUUGAUUCAACCUGCACAAAUACAUACACAAUAUGCAAUAUGUAAAAACACCAAGAACACACAACAAAGAGAAACACCAAGAACAUGAACUGGAAAAAUUCGAUAGCCAAGGAUAAAAUCCAAAACUGGACAGAAACAACCAAAUAAGAUGAAGAACCGUUGGUUGCCCAAAAAUACAUCGAAAAACUGAAGUACUCAACACCGAACUACAAGAAAAGUUUAGACCAAGUCGAACAAGCAAAAAGAUAACCAAAACUACGAGCUGGAACUAAAUAAAAAGACUAGUAGAAACCACAACUGCCUGAAGCCAAAUCAAACCUGGAAUAUCCAACCGAAGUAGCCCCCAGUCCAAACCCAGCUGGACAAAACUGAGAAGCACUUGGCCGUAUCUCAAGGAACCAAACACAAGUUGAAGCUAACUAGAACCCCAGUAGACCUCAAACUGCCUUGAACGAAUUGUAAGGACACAGCAACCGAAUCUGACAAAGGCAGCGACAACUAGACUGAAGGUAGCUUGCUUGAACAUUGAACAUUGCCUUGAAUAUUGAUCGAAACUGAACUGAAAUACCAAACUGUAACUUUCAAACUUAGCAAAUCUGCACCUAAAGACGGAUUAAAGCCAGUAUGCUUAAUUCAAUUUUCACUGAGAAAAAGUAAAAAUCGAACCAAACACAUUAGGAGACUCAAGAAACAAGGCAUUCAAGUGGGAUUUUCUCUCACUAGAAUUUAGAUCUUUUCUAUCUAACCUUGACUACUUGUCUUUACACUUAUCAGCCCUGCUAGAAGUGGUCUCAAUAGGGAAGGGAACUGAGAGGGAGGAGGUAUUGGAAGGCGGGAGGUGUCCCCAAAAUGCACUCAUUUGAAGAGUGGCCCCAAUGUCUAUAAUAAAAGCAAAAUACUGGCCUCUUCUCACAGAUCACCGACUGCCAAAAGCCACAAUUAUCACCUCACUCAAUCCAAAUUGUACCUGGUAAUCAUUGCUCCAAGUUUUACCUCAGUACAUUACCUUGCCUUACUAGGUCAUGACAAAUUCCAGGUGGCCUCAUCAAUCCUCAAUGGUAUAUCCCUAUAGCUCUAGAUAAAGUAAAUAGGAACCCCUUACUACACAUAUGAAUAGGUAAUAAAGAAAUUAGACCUAAACUGGAGUAACAAGCAUAUCAUGUUUAGGUCAAAAUCACAUGUCCAUUUAAGGACUCUUAUUGGGCACCCAUCAAUAUACCAUGAAGUCUUAAGAAAUAAUCUAAUAUAGUCUUCUUCAUGUGUAAGAUGUAUCAAUAUGUGUAAAGUAUCACUAAGCCCCAACUCAAAUCUAUCAUGGAAACCUAACUUUUGAAAAUUCUCACUUAUCUUUCUCAUGAUAGGCUUGCGAUAGCAGAAUUUCCCUAUAAGCGUGAACUUGUAGUGUUCACGUAGUAUAGCUUCCUUCAAAUUUAUCAAAUCGAUGGUUGGCUCAUCCCAAGUAUGUAUAGGAUUCAUUUGUAAUUGGUGCCUGUAAAACUGAAGUAAACGACUUCUUUGACUACUUUUUACAUGAAACACCAAAGACCAAAAAUUGCAUUAGCAUAGGUCUUUCGAUGCUGAUUGAGCAAAGAGUGGGCCUCAUGUGCAGGGGCAAAUCCAGGAGUUUGAGUAAGCACGGGCGACCGUCGACCAUCUAACGUUGGUCGCAAUAAAAUAUUAAAAAUCCUUCGAUAUCUAUAUUUUUUUUUUUUGCAAAAAAAUGUAUUUUGGAAUGGUGAUUUGAUGGAGAACGUGUGAUUAAAAAUAAAGAAAAAUUUUGAAUUUACGUGUAAUAUUAUUUUAUUGAAGAACGUAUGCAUGAAAAGAUGAAAGAAAAAAGUAGUUUUAAAAAAGGGGGAAUUGAACAAGGUCUAAAGUAUAAAUAUAACAAUUAUUUUAUUCAAACUGAAUAUAUAUAAUUCUGUUAUAAGAAUAAAUAGAAUUCAUCAAAUAACAUUGUUGCUAAAUUUUGUAUAAUUCAAAGGAAGAGUGUGAAUUCGAGUAUUUAAAAUUGUUUGCAUCAAAACAAUUAAAAUCUAACAAAUAUCAUUUUGUUAAAUUUAGUAAUCCAAUUCAAGAGGUACCAUAAUGGUUAAGUUUACCACAAUUAUUGCUUCAGAUCAUGGGUUCAAAUCCUCAUUGUCCCUCCCUUAUAGAAUUUUGGUAAAAAUUAUAAAAUAAAAAUAAUACAUAACAAAUCCAUUGACAAGGAUUCGAACCUAAGAGUUGAUGCAUAUUAAGAUUGACUCUCACCAAGUAAGCUACAUGGGAUGUUUGAGAAUAAAAUCAAUUAUAAAAAAUAUAAUGUAAAAAUUUAAUCUAUUAAUAACAAAAAUAAAAAUAAAAAAUCCCGGCGGAUCCAGCUAGGGCGGCUGCCCUAGCUGGCCGCCCUCUGGAUCUGCCACUGCUCAUGUGGAAAAAUCGAUGCUAAAUGAAUCUGGAUUAAUUGGAGGACACCGUGGAGAUUUUGUGUUGGUGCAUAUGGCCCACGUGUUGGUGGCUAUACAUCGACCCUAGGCAUGUCCCUUGCCAAUUUUUAUUUUUUAAUUUUUUAUUAUUUGCAAGUUGAUGCGGAAUUUCAUGUUGAUUCUGAUGGUCAUAGACGUGUAGCAAGUGGGGAUCCAUGGAAGGAGUUAUGCCUCGAUUUGUGGGCAGUGGCUCUUUUUUAUUGUAGGCCUCAAGUGCGUUCGUCUUUGUAAUGGAAUUGGCUUUUAUCGGUUUGGUCGGAAUUUGAUGGGCAACAAGAUGGUUAGGCAUAGGUGAUGUUCAGGUGGCUAGGUUGGAAGUAAUUUCUCAAUUAAUGUGUAAUUGCACAUUUUUCAAUACAAUAAUUUCGACCAAAUUGGAGGCCGACAACUCUAUCCUAUGGCUUUUUGGGCUUUCCGAGUUUUCGACUGAUGUUUUCCAUGAGUUUUCAAUUGUAAAUUUGAUGAUUUUGGGUCGGAUUUUACUGUUGGUGUUUGAGGAGAAGGAUUGUGGUGUGAUGGUGUUGGAUUUUUGUUGCUAGAGAUAGAGGAAUCCGGUGGUUUUGGUGGCAAAUCGAGUGUAUGGGAGAUUGGGCUCAUUUAUUCCAUUGUAGAGAAAAUGAAGAGUGUUUUAGAGAGAGAAAGUGAAAAGGUGCAAAUCGAUAAUAUAUUAAUGUCAAUUCUUUCUAAUUAUAUAGUUAGGGUGGAGUUUCCCAACCUUUCAUGUAGUGUGGUUAUGGGUUUCUAUCCUUCAAAAGUAAGAUUCAGAGUCCUCAUUAUUUAGACAAGUAAAUAUGGGUCGUUCAUCAUCGAAACUAUCGAUGUUGAUGUCAAAAUAGUAUGAGAAUUUUAAUAGUAUUAAAAAGAAACGUUAAUGUGUUUUAACAUUUCGAGUUUAACAUAUCAACUUUUAUCAUCAAUAUUGAUGUUUUCGAUAAUGAAAAAUUCAAAUUCAUAAUGGAGACUUUACGUUUGAAGAUUAUAGCCAACCCUAAAGAAUCUCCUUACUUCCACAUUCCAAUUUUCGAAAAACGAUUACUUCAAAUGUAGAACCCCACAAUUCAAAAAGUUUUCUUGAGCGGUAGGCGUCGAAUCUCCAACGGUAACAUACGUAAACACUUUUAUGGACCCAUCAUAGAGUUAAUUGGGCCCAGUUUGAGCUCCAAAGAAGAAACCUGUUUAGGUCCGAACAGAGGAUGGAGGGAGAAAGCUCGCAGCCAUUGCACAGAGGAGUUGAUAAUACCGGCUCCGGUCCAUCUGCAUCAUCUAUCCGGCUCCGGUCCAGACCGGACUCCUUCUUGAUCCUCUGGCGAUGCUUCAGCGUGAUUACUUCUCUGGCCGCGAUUCUCUGCAUUGCAGUCAAUGUUCUCUCUGCCGUCCGAUCUUUCAAGAACGGAUCAGAUGUAAUUUUGAAUUCUUUCGCUAUGUCUCAAUAUAAUUUGUUAUGCAAUCUAGGUAAGUCUAAGUUUUCCCUUUUUUUUCUUUUAAUUGUUGUAGAUAUUCGAUGGAAUAUUCCGUUGUUACGCGGUGGUGAUUGCAAUGUUUGUGGUGGUGGCGGAGACUGAAUGGGGAUUCAUUAUUAAAUUCUGGAAGGUUCGAUUUUUGUUAUCAACCUUUUAUUUAUUGUUCAAACUUGGUAUAUUGAGACUGAUUCUUGCAUAUUGAGCUAUGCCCAUGUAAGGCAAAUUAUUUAUUGUUUCAUGUUGUUUUAAUAAUGUUUUGAGUGAGGGAAUGAUACAUUAUUCACAUUUGUGCAAAUGCAAUUGCAAUAUAACUCUCCCACAUUGUGGUAUGACAAUAUACAUCAAAUAAGAAGUUACCUUUACCUUCUAAGCUUAAUAAAGUUACUUAUUUUGCCAACAGAACAAAUCCGAACUUAUGAAAAGUAACUUUUAAGCACAACGAGACAUGCUCCUUGAGUCUCAAGAUCAAGACUUUUAUUUGUUUCCUUAUAAUUUCCACUUUUCAAAUGGGAUAUGUAUCACUGGUGAUUCUGAAGUUUGCAAAAAUCAUAUUAGGAAUAACAUGUAAUGUGUGAACUACUUAUGUUCUCUUUCUUUGCGUUGCGUGCUUCCCUGUGGUUACGCAUCACUAGAUGUAUCAUUUUUUCCCUUUUAUAGAGAACAGAAUAAUCAUUAGAAAACUAAGAGAUGUAAAAUUUGAAAACUAUAACAUAAGCAGGCUUCUGAGAUCUUGGUGCAUAGAACUCAUCAGAUGACUUUUAGACCCAUCAGAAUAGUAAACAUUUUUGCCCCAUCGUUUGCUCGCUAUUAGUUAAAUCAUUAAUAAUAACAGAAAAAGGAUUUAAAUAAUAAAAAGAAAAACUGCGUUGAAGCAUAUAGAGGUAGUUUGUCAGAUGGGCUCGCCAUUGUACCUAUAGACCAGGCAUACUCCACAAUUUUUGGGUUUACCAGGCCAACCUAUCCAAGUUUUGGUGUUUUUUAUUUUCUUUUUCUGGCAUCCAAUGUGGGCCAUGGGCCUCAUCUCCUAUACGGCUAUACCCAAAGAGCCCACACACCGUCCCAGUGUGCUGGGCAAAAUGAGGAUCAGGCCAUCUCGCGCCUGGCUGCCCCUGCCUUUUUCACACCCCUGCCCUCAUCCAACCUACUGUUGCCCAAUUUUACAUUACCUUUUACAUGUGGCAUUUUGAUGAACUUUUUGAUGGAAUCCGUUGCAGAGAUCUGCUGGAUGCAAAAGUUGAAGGUGGAUACCCCUUUGCAAAGAAAUAUUGAAUGCAUGCUCAUUUAGCUACAUAAUAGGGACUGUGGAUUUUACAUAGCAAAAGGUAAUCAAUUUAAAGAAACCAAGAAUUAAUAAGAACUUGGAAAUGAGAGAGAAAUACCACAAAGAGGUAGGCACACAAAUGAAAAGAGAUGAAUGAUAUUAGACAGAUUGUAGCACGGAGGAGAAAGGCGGUGAAUUAUGAAAGGAAAACUAGAUGGGGACCUUCAAAUCAGGGUUACCAGGUAUUGAUUGGAGAGAACAAUGUAAGAACCCUGGAAUCAGAUAUGGGUUUUGGGAGAUGUUAAGAGAUCACUCUACCUUGUUUUUAAACCAGUAUAAAAGGCAUAGAAGAAGCACAUAUUACUAGUAGUCUAGUACUGUAUCUGUGAUGUGUUGGAAAGUUUGCAAUGGUUUUUGAACUGAUGUUUGUUUUGGUCCUUCUCAUUUGCUAUAUUGUUCCAGCUUAAAUUGUCUGCUUGAACUUCAUAUAGCAUUUAAUAUAUGGAUUUGAAUCUUCAUCACUAUGUUGCAGGUCCUAGAGUAUUGGGCUGGGAGGGGUAUGCUCCAGAUAUUGUACGUUUGACUUCUAAUUGAAGAUUUAAUAGAACAAACUCACACCUGUGCCCAUCUUUCCAUUAGUCUUCACUUGUUUAUGAACUGAAUUUUGGUUUUUAGUUAGAAGUCAUAUAGAUCUUACAUGGGGAUUUUUUAUUUUUAUUUUUAUUUUAUGUUAUUUUCUUUUUCCAGUGUUGCGGUAAUGACCAGGGCUUAUCCCGAGUACUUUGAAAAGCAUCAAGAGCUCUUUCUUCUCCAGAGCGUAGCCAGCUACCUGCUUCUUGCAUGUGGUGUGAUUUAUAUUAUAUCUGUAAGUUCAUGAAUCAUCAUUAUGAUAGACGAUAAUUUACUUUCCAAUCGGUGAUAACAUAUCUACUUGUUAAUCACUUGCUGCAACUCAGAAAUAUUUUUCUCUAAGUAUCACCAUUUUACAUGUCCAUAGUUAUAUAUUUCUUUUCUUUAGGUGAAUCAAAGUUGAUAUUUCAUCUAGUUAAACGAUGUGCUAUUUCAUUUCAUGUCUAACUGUACCCAUAUUAAUUUCAGAUGCAGGGUAAAUAUCUUUCCAAUAUGUUAUUUAUUGUUUUUUAGGGAAUAUUAUGCAUUGGUGUUUUUAAGCGUGCUCGCCAGAAGAAAGAAUUUUCUAGGGAUCAAGCAAUUAAGGAUCUCCAGGUAACCAUCUCGUGGCAAAAAGGCAAACAUCAUAUCUACUUUAUUGUGCAUCUACCUGCCCUUAGUGUAAAUCCAUUACUGAAACAUGCAGUUUUGUUCAUUUUAAUUGAUUCUAGUUCCCUUCCCAUCAAAAAAUAGGAAGAAAGAAGUACAGAUUAGUUUCUGGUCUAGCUGAUACAUGUUUUCUUCCCCUUCGUCUGUGUUUUUGCACGAUAUUUAUCUUUCUAUAACAAUUAUAGGAUCUGGAGCGCCGUAAAGAAGAGCUCGAGUCACUGUUGAUUGUAGAGGGUGCUUGAAUGAGAUUGGAGACUAUAGACCCACAAGAACAUCCCAUUCUUCAAACUAGACGAGCAAGACUUUCAGUUUGAAUGAUAAUCUAAGUCCUAUUUGUAUAAUUGCAUAAUUUCUUGACCGCGAUUAAUUUUCACUAUCUAAUAGCUUACUGCUGUUUGUUGUACAGUUACAUGCGUUAAUCUGCAGUUCAAGUUGCGCUAACCUGAUAGAACUCUGUUCCCUUUAUUUAUUUAUUUAUUUUUUGAGUUCAAAGGAUCAAUGAAAAAGAGAUUUUACAUCUUUUGUGUAACUUUGCUUGAUUGCCAUUUGCUUUGCUAUUUGUAUUUGAAGCGCCAGGCCUAACAUGAGUACGAAUGCAUUUUCAUGAAAUUAUUAAGGUUAUCUGUGGGAUUCUUUAUUUGGUUUUCUAGGUUAUGUGGUUGAUCAAAUGAUUCAAAUUGAUCCACAAUGAACUUGAAAUGAUUCGGUAAGUUUAGGGUUUAACCAUUGUUAAGUCGUGUGUUCAAUACUGCUCACUAAAUGUAUAUUUGAGACUCAUGAGAAUUAGAAUCGGCCAAUUUCAUUUUCUUUCUCCGUGGAACCAUAUUUGAUGCAUUUGUUGAUUGUGGUGAGAAAAACAUACACUCUCUCUUCCCCAAUUCACAUUUCCAUUAAAUGGUUCCUCUACGAUGUUUAUGCUGGUUGCAUUUGGGAGGGUUAUUUCCGUAAUUAACUUUUUAUAAUAAUGGUCUUUUGGUCCAAAUGGGUUUCAACGUGUUCUGUCAAAAUUAAAGUGUAGUAACAAUAUUUUCGUGCACGCCUCAAUUUUUUAACAAUUAUUUUACUAUUGCAAAAUGAAAAACGUCAUUAAAAUGAGAUCUUAAUGAGAUUCAAACAGAGUGAAAAAUAUAUACCAUGACGUUUCACAUUCUAAUCAGGUAAUUUGAAUUAUGUAUGACAAUCCUAAGAGCCGUCACAUUGAUUUGAAAAAGAAUAAAGAUAUUCGAUACACUUGAGCAAUACACUUACAGAUACUUAGGCCCCGUUUGAUUACACAAAAUUUUCCAUAGAACUUGAAAUUCGAAUUCCAACUUUCAUUUUUGGCUUGUUUGAUUGACAAAAUUUUCUAGGGAACUGAUUUUCCAUGAAUUUCUAGGUACAACACCUUAAAGCGUAAUUUUCCACCUUUUAUUUUCCUAGGAUAGGUUGUUUUUGAUUUUCCACCUUUUUUUUUAAUUGUUGGCAAUAUGAACAAAUUCUAGGAACAAUUGUAUAUCCCUGAAAUUGAUAAUUUUCAUGUAAAACAAAGUCAAAUGUACACCAAAAUAUAGAUGAUUUUUUUUUUUUUGGGCAAUGGAAACAAAUUCUAGGAAGGUAGAAGUAGAUAUUCCUUAAAUUGACAAUUUUCAUGUAAAACAAAAUCAAACGAACAACAAAAAACAAUUUUAUUUUAACAUUUUUCACAUGGAAAAUUAUACCAUUCAAAUACAAUAAUUUACAAUUUGUAGGAAAAUAAUUUCUAGAUAAUUCAAUUCCUUGGAAUUCAUUUUUUUUCCACCCAAAUUUCAUCUUCGCAAUCAAACAGACUCUCAAUACACAGAAUUAACCAAUAUGAUUUCAUUAUCUUUUUUAAUAGAAAUCAAUAUUGUUGAGUCCACUUGCAGAAUAGCAUUGAGGAACAAAACAAGAACAUGGAGUUUCAAGGCUUCAUGAUUUCAAAAUCUUAAUUUAUUUUCGGCCUUCACUAAUAAAAAAUAAUUUAAUGAGUAAACAUUCUAAGCCAAAUGUGCUUCCAAAGGAAAGAAAGGAAACAUUACUCGAACAAGUUCCUGUAGGAGAUAUAAAAACCUGUAUGUAUUAUAAUGUCAAUGUGUAUUAACAGUUAUGUACCCUGAGAAGGAAGAGCAGUAAAAUUACAUUAACAAAAUGCCCUUGCUCCAAUAAAACCUAUUCAUGUUCUUAAAGGUUUCAGAAUAACGGGUCUUAACCCUCUUCUUAGCCUUAAAACUAAAAAACUAGCCGAGCUGUACAUGAUUCAAUAAACAUCUAUCAUAGGCAAUUUGGAACGGCCUUCUGCAAAAACAUCUGUUAUAAUAUGGUUAUUUCACGCUGUUCCUCAGAAUAAGACGAGCUUCUUCGUUUUUUUGCAGAUUUCUUUUCUUCUGUUGCUGAUAUAAAUUGCACCGGAUUCAUUCUGUGACUGAUCCUAGUGGUGGAUUCAGCUUCUCGAUAGCAUGAUGCCGGAAAUUUAUCUCUGCAGGAAGGAGGAUUCCCAGUGUUACUAAUGUCUUGUCUCUCAUUUUCGUCCUCAGAAUCCUCAACAACACAUGCUGCAAGUUCUGCAAAGGACAUGGAAGAGUACUCACAUUUGUCCUCGUUUCCAGAAUGGGUUGCAACUUCUGGGACCCAAUCUUCCUCAAUCUGUUCAUCACUUAUGAUUUGAAACGCGCCACCGGAACUCCUUGAAGUUUCCAAGGAAGACUUUGUCUCCACCACUCUCAAACUACUAGGUGAACUCAGGAUGAUCAAAGAUUUAGUGUCUUCAUGGCUGUUUGCUUCAUCUUCCGGUGAAGCAACUUGCUCCCCAACUGCACCCUGUUUGGAAUAAGAGGUCAAAAUAGGAUAAAAAGCUCAGCCACAAAAUACAUUGUUAGCGUUAAAAGCACGUAUAUAAUGCAAUUAAACAACAAAAUCUUGUGGCAAAAAUCUUCAUAUAAAACAUUAAUAAUCUUCAACUCAAAGGCCUGCAUAUGUUUGCUGUAAUCAGAAAGCGCAAAGGUUCAAAGAUGCCACAUGAAUGGAGAAAUUUCAAAGUUCAAAUAUUCCAUGUAAAUAGUUGCAGGAGCUGAUGUAUCUGUUGCAAUUUUAAUUACUAUGCCACAAAGACCACUUCACCACAGAAAGAAAACCACGAGAAUACUGUUACUUUUAGGAAUGAGGCAUUUCAAAUCAACAUUAAACAACGCACUAAUGGUCCAAGAUUUUUUUUUCCAUGCAUUAAAAAGUAAAUGCCAAUUGCUCAUAGAGAAUUACCUCAAUUGGAAAUGUGGGGUUAUUAUAUUGUUCCAUUGACACCAUUUGAAAUAUAUCAACAUUAAACAACGCACUAAUGGUCCAAGAUUUUUUUUUUCCAUGCAUUAAAAAGUAAAUGCCAAUUGCUCAUAGAGAAUUACCUCAAUUGGAAAUGUGGGGUUAUUAUAUUGUUCCAUUGACACCAUUUGAAAUAUACUUGGAUGCAUAGAAUCGCCAUGAACAAACUUCGAUUCUCCAAAAGUUUGCUGCCCACUAAUAAUGGAACCUAUUGGUUCCCUUGAUAUACCGUUUUGGUUAUUAACAUAUGGAGCAUCUUUCUUGGCAUUCUCUCUUACAAUUUUACAGAUCAACUUUCGGAUAUGAUCACGCUUUCGAAGGGACACCUCGUCAGGUGGGAACCAGUUCUUUUUAAGCUGCAGAGGCAAAUAGAUGUUUGCCUAAAUUAUAAUUUGACAAAAAAUGUGAGAAGCAUAUAUCCAUCCUUUCUACUGUAAUGACCAUAGAUAAUUGAACAUCAAACAAAUGGACAGUACUAUAGCAGUCCAGAAACAUAUUGUGUUAAUAUGGAAACUCUAGCAUGUUAGAACAAUUAGCUUCCACUCUGAAUAAAGCUAUUCAGCAUCAAUCGCUCAAGGGUCACUUAUCUUUUGAAAUGCUAACUGAAAAAAUUUCUUCCUCCUACAGAACAGAAGAUAACUCUCCAAGUAUGAACAUAUUGUUACCGCAAUUCGCUAAAAAUUGGGCUUACAAUCAGAAAGGGGAGAACACAAGACUAUUCAAGUUAAUGUAUUAGGGAGAUUAAGAGCCCAUUUGGCAAGGCUUUUGAAAAGGCACAAGCUGCUUCUGAAAUUAAGAAGCUCUUUCUGGUUCUGUUUGAAUAAUUUUCUGGGAGUGGUGUUUUAUCCGGUUAGAAAAGCUUUUUAAAAAAGCUGGCCAAAUGUGAUUUCCUCAUGGAGCUCUUUUACAAAAAGUAGAAGCCUUGCCAAAUGGGCCGUUACUAAUAUUCGAGGUCCAGGUAACCAAUGAGAAAACAACUUACAAAGUUUGGACAUUCGUUUAGGGUUGUUAGGCUGAAGUUACUGGGAACCUGCUCCAAAAAAAGUUCUGCAUAGUGAAGCAAGAAAAGGCCACAAUCGAACCAGUUUUCCUGCUGUGGAAGCUGGAAAAACAAAACCAAAAGACUAAUAUUGACAAUAAUGAUCUGUAUUAAUGUCCUGUAUAAGGAAAGGAGGAAGAUGAAACAUUUAAAAUGAUGAAAAACAUAUAGCAGUGUGCAUUCUUAUAUUUAGUAGUGGUAACUUUAGUUACAUGCACCUUAGAACAGUUUGCAAUCCGUAUACAUAUAAAUUGAUGGCAAAAAGAAAAGUCAAAGAAAGCUAUCUGUCCAGAUCUACUAUGACAAGAAAGCUAAAGUACUAUCCACUGACAUGUCUACAUCUCCAAGACAAACGAUGUAUGUUAAUUUGCGAAGAUAACAUUUGUUGAGAGAGUAAAAGCUACAUUUACAUUUUGGUACUAGUUGAUAAUGAAGGAGAGAGCAUCUAUAAACUCUAAUUUUUUUAUGAACACGGUAAUGUUAAUAAACUUCAUAUUCUCUUUCCUUAUUCCAUCUUUUAUUUUCUUCUUAUAUUGCGUUGGAUUGCCCAAAUUUUCCAUUGAAAAUGUCAUUUUUCCACCCAAAUUUCUAUUUUUUUUUGUUGUUUGAUUGAUAUUUUUUCAUGAAAAAUAUUUUCCUACUUUUGAUCUUGUGACCAUAUUUUUCUUGAAAACAAGGAAAAUAUUUUCUUUAGGGGGAGUAGGUUCUUAUUCCAAGGUAAUAGGUUUUAUUUUUUAAGUAAUUCACUCAAUCUCUCUCUCUCUCUCUACCUACCAAUAAAAAAUGGACAAGUAUAAUAUUUCUAGAUUGAAAAUAAAAUCAAUCAAACACAUUUAAUUGACAAUUUUCAUGCAAAUAAUUUAUAGACAAUUUAAUUGCUUAGAAUUUAUUUUCUUUCCAUGUAAAUUUUAUGUUUGCAAUCAUACACACUCUUAUUCUCCUCUUCAAUAUUCUUCAAUGAAGGAUGAGAAAAUAUGAAAAAUGUACAAAUUAACAAUGAUGAUGAACAGCUCCUUUCACUCCUUUUUUCUUUAUAUUUGCUCCACCUUCUGUCUUCACCAAACCAGAAGAGUAUGAAUUGUAAAAGUAUCUACACUCAUCUACCACAUUGAACUUCAUUCUUCCACCCUUUUGGCUCAAUUCCAUUCCAAAAACAUUAAAAUGCAUUCCUUAAAUAUGAAACGUUCAGAACCUAAUUUGAGUAAAAUAAGACAUAAGAGACUCUGAGGUAAACAUACCUCAAAGUGAUUCACAUUUAAAUCGUGUGAAUUCUUUUCAUCUAGACAUUAUGGGAGAAAAUUUGUACAUUUAUUAUUCAAUUAGGAAAUAUAAUUGUACAGGAAGGAUACAAGCAAUCUUAUUCGCUGAGUUUCUUUAAAAGUGCACGUUGAACUGCUUGUACCCCUGCACAAUAAUGAUUUUAUAGAUAGUUACAGAGGUACACACAGGCAAGAGAGACAAAGAGAGAGAACCUCAAGUGCGACAAAUGGCAAAUUGAAGAACUUCGCUGAAAUAUCUUCUGCCAGUUCCCAAUGUCUGUCUUUCCAUUCUUCCCACAAGUAACUGAUGUUUCAUGACAAGAAAAUUUUACAUUAUCGUGGUAUCGUAAGACUCAAAUCAUGCAAACAUACAAAGCAAUACCCAGAAACAACAUUAAGUGAAAAAAACAUCAACCAAAUACUUGCAACAAAUAAUAUCAAAUAUAACAUAGUUUAGAUGGCAUUCACUUUAAGUAGUUCCAGAAACGGUCAAAGUUUCCUCCCAAACCAAAAGGAAAAGUACUAAAGAUUUGAAUGCCUUCUAAAUCCCCCUCAUGCCAGAAAUUUAGAUGCAUGGUAGCAACUUAUCUAUUUAACAAAAACAUCAACUUUUCUAUCAGUUCAUAUCUUGUAGUUUAACUUGGCAUAGAAAAUCAUGUAGAAAUUAUGAACAUAUGGAUUCAGCUUCCUUUUCCAAUCUUGUUCUUGAUGUCAAACAUAAAGCAAAAUGGAGGACCAUUUAAUUUUUUAACUUCAACUGACAAAAUUGAACAACGGUGGUUGGGAAAUAAUAAUCAAAGAGUUUUGGAAGCAGUUAAUACUAAGACAUUGUUGAAAGAAAAUUGGUUGGAAGUUCAAUCAGUGAGGAGAGGACAAGUGAAUUGAAUACGGUUUCUUUACCUCGCCAUAAAUGACUUAACAAAUUUAUAUAAUUUAUAACAUUGAGAAAAAGACAGUUAACAUGGCCAGUUAGCAACUUUCAUCCACUCACAACCAUCUCUAAUAAAUGUUCGUGAAACUAUGUUGACCCCAAAGGAAUUCUGAAAUAUGACGUUAUAGUAGGCCUCCAUUCACCUUUAGUAAAUGCCACUGACUGGUUUUGAAUAUCAACUUUCAGAAGCUUACCCUUUAAUGAGAUUCUGCAGUCCGGUAUGGCUUCCUUUUAUGGAAUCCAUGUGUAAAAUGCACGGUUUCUUAUAUAACUCGCCCAUUUCUUCGUCUGCAGAAGAGAUAAUUUUAGGUGCGAUGACAGCAGUGAUUAAAUAACAAAUACUGCAAAGAAUGGCACAAAGUAGUCAUACCUCUUAAAUUUUCCACUUCUCCAGGGUGACAGAUGACGAUCAAACUCCAAUGAAGACUGUCAAAUGUGGGGGGGAAUCUAAGAGAGGGCCAAAAUACAAUUUCGAUAUUUAAAUUAUUUUAUUAAUGGCUUAUUACCUAGAGUUAACAGGAAUAAAUAUAUAAUCUUUUUCAAAAAUGUUUACAUUCCUUGUCCAUUUACAAACACGUUGAAAAGCUUUUCUUCCUUCCCAGGUUCUAGAUGAACCUUGAUCCAGACAAGCCAGCUUCUGAAAGAAGAAAGUGUUGAAAAAAUAGAACCUAUGCUGCUCCUUUGGAUUGGUUUUGUUCGCAAGAUACCUGCCAAUUAGUUCCCUUUACAGGUUAAUUAUCUACAACGUCCAUAUAAAUGGUAAACAGGAUAAGUUACAAUAAUUAUAUGAACAUGCACUGAUGAGUAUGAGUUUCCAGAACAUUUCAAUAAAAAUAGGCACUGCAAUAUCUACUCACGUAACGCCAGCUAAACAUGAUACUGGUAAGCUAGACCCUUGCAUCAUAAACAAACCAUCCAAAAUACGAAAAUCAUCAAUAUAAUUGCUUUCAAGUUCUUACUUAAUAUAGAAGUCAAUGAUAGUAUCAUUGAUGAAUGUCUUUGGCUGCAAAACCUCAACAUCUCUACUGCGUAUGGAGAUAGCAUCCGGAUCCCUAUCUGGAUAUAUUAGAUCUUCAAAGGGCUGGUUGGAACUAUAUUCACUGAAAUUCAAGCAACAAAUGUCAUCCAAUCAGUAAAAUUUUUGACACAAAAUAAAAUAGGGCUCCCGGAUCUUAUUCAGAAAUAGCUGACAUUGCAUUCAAUCAUGUGCUAAAAGGUCAACAAUAUUAUCUUAUUGAUAAAUUGAGAAAGAGAAGAAAAAUCAAACCAGGUCACAGAAAGAACAAAAAUAAGAGAAAAUGAAGAAAGUAUGUACAUCAAAAUCAGCAAAAUACAAUAGAGGGGUUGUUUGACAAAGGCUUUGAUAAAAGUUUUAGCAUAUUUUGAUAAAGUUUUGGGUCAUACGAAAUUUGUGGUUAAAAUUGAUGUUUGAUCGGUUGAAAAGUUCAUAAAAUUUUAGUAAGGUUUUAUCAAAUAAGCACAGAAUAAACUUGUGUUCAUCCAAGAAGGAUGUUAAAAUACAGAAUUAGAAGAUCUAUAAAAGUCGAGCAAGUUAACACGUGCAAUAGUAUUCAUAUUUUGAAUGUUCUGUUAAGGAAAACAGGGCAGCUAUGGACACAUGAAGUAUUAAGCAAGGAUAAUGAAGAAAAGAAAUAUCCCACUAGAUCAAGGCACUAUGAUUUAAGAUAUAGUUACUUGAUACUCUACACAUCCAUAAUUAUUGCACCCAUGCACAAGCCUAUGGAAAAAGACAUGGAAAACCAGGACCAAAUCCCCGAACUUAUGAAAGAUCUCUAGUGAACCUCUGAGCUGUUAGUUCUCCUCAUUCAAUAUGGGAUGACAGGUUUUUUCUUCAAACGCAAGAAAAUGGUCUGAGCAAGCUUGAUGAGGAAUAGUAUUGUCCCAGAAGAUCCACAAAAAAUGACAUUUCCUUUUCAAUGUGACUUUGGAAAAAAAUGUUAUUCCAGCUAAAGAAAUCAUCUUGACUAUGGAUUAAACUAAUACGGAAAAUGAUAGAUUAGAAAAUUAGGACUUUUACUCUUUUAACAUGCCCAAGUAAUUAAUAAAUAGACACUAAAGGAAAUUGGAAAAGUAUGGUUCAAAGCACCAAACUGGAAAAGAACAUAAGAGAACAGAUAAAAUGGUAAGAUUCAUCGCAAAUCAAAGAUAACAAAGUAAAGUCUUCAUGCAAAAGAUGAUGCAACAGUUUCUUUGAUGAGCUUCACAUGUUUACCCAACAAACAAACAAUAACUUAAUAAGAUAAGAGGAUCCAGGAAGAAGCAAUGAUUCACUAAUGCAUGAGUACCAACCUUUCAACAGUGCUCCAAGAGAUUUUAUAUUUCAUGUCCAAGGAUUUAAUUUCUUCUAGUUUUUCAGACCAAUGAGUGUCAUUAGAAACUACAAACUCCAACUUCACCGUGCCUGCACUCCUCCAUAAAACAAAAUUAAACGUCAAUCAGCGGAAACCAACUUAUUGCAUAAGGAAUGCCCACGUUUCUCAAUUUUUUAGAAGAAAAAUGACUCAAGAUGCAUACAUCAAGAACUAACGAGGAAAUAUAAAGAACAGGAAAGACAGAAAAAAAUAGAGCAAGGGUAAUACACCAAACAAUUUUAAUUUUUAAGCCAACAUGACCCUUUUGCGAUAAGUAAGCAAGCAAGCAAGCAGCAAUUAGGAAUUUUCAUCCAUUCGGAAGGGCAAAUGAAAGCUGAAUGUGUUGUAUAGAACCAGAAAACAUCAUUGAGGAAGGCAUUCAGGUGAAACGUACAAACCUGCAGCUUUACUAGAAAUUUCAGCUGUGUUUCCUUCAUUGCAUAUUAAUUUAAACGUUACAACAGCCACUUUAACCUACAGUCACGAAACUUAAAAUUUGGGAUGAAAAUCCAUUGUGUAAGACGAAAUUCAGGGAAGUUAGCCAUACUCACAGUUUCACAAAAUUCAUGUUCGAUGUUCACAAUAUUAGAAAUAGGCCAUUCAUGGCAACAAGGUUCCUUUGUCUGCCAUGGGGGUGAACCCUCUAGUUUGAUGGAUUUGCAAGAAAAUGUCAACAAACACUUUGUAUAAUAUGUAUUCCCAAAUUUAACAUAAUUGGGAAUGACAACCACCAUUGUUUCCUGCAUAUCAAAACCAAAAAAGUAAGGGAAAAAAAUAGAUGUCUGCGUAAGAGCAAACAAAGAUCUGAAUGCGAGGAAAUAAAUUUACAUUCUAUUAAAGCUUUCCUAUAGGCUAACUAAGUCAUAUGCAUAGUAUUGUGAAUGAUUGAAAAAUUGGAAAAGGCUCUAGAUUUGAGUUCAAUUGCAUUGAAAUGGAGAUAGGAAUAAAAUAAUUAUUUCCCAGAGCAUCCAAAUAUUUAUACAGUUUAGUUCUACUGACAAAUGAUGUAGUGGUAACAUGCGUACAAUAUCACUUGUGUUGACGCCAUACUCAAAUGGUUGUUCUUCUAAUGAACCUGAAACAUAGCAAACUAUCUGCAAUCCUUAAAGAGUUUUCUGGAAUUAAAGAAAUCCAAGGAAAUUUGCGUGCUUGAAAAGACGUCUGAAAAAAUAAAAAACCUUCAUUUUCUGCUCUGGCAAUGGAAGAAGACGAUCUUAAUCCAAUUCUUAGAUCAUCAUCAGAAUCUACAUCAAGUACCUUAACCUGCAGGAAAAAUAAAAUUGAUCGAUUAUGAAUAUUUAAAGGUCUAUGAUUCCUUGCAGAAAGAACAAACUAAGAAGUCAGGUACAUCAGUUAAACUUUGAGGUAGAGUACUGUCGAAGCAAGUACGCUUCUUAUCAGUUAGGCUGUCUCCAGGUUGUCUGGCUCUCGGUGAACAGGAUUUUGCACCAUCAGAAUAACAUUUGAAAUCAAGUUGUUCUGGAGAAGUAGCCGAUAGUAUAUAGUCUGAAGAACUAGAUGAUAGAGUGCCAUCCAACUGAAUGCUUCUGUCGUCUGCAAGACUGUCAUCAACAUCGAUGACUAAUAAUUUAUUUCCAUAAUCAUUUUGUUGAGUCUUGGAACCUUUUGCAACUACAAAAAUAUAUAUAUUUUUAAAAAAAAAAAUAAGAAAUUAGAAUUCUACGCCAACAUGAUCAUACAAGUUCAAGAUACAACAAAACAAAAAAUAUAAGUUUGAAGAAUAUAAAAAUAAAGCACUUCUUCAAAAUCUUAACUUUUUGAAGUGCUUAAAAAGAUAGGUUCAUAUUUUUUUUUUAUUUUUUUUUAUUUUUUUGAUGACGGGAGAACCCGCAGCCGCUAUCCUUCAGGUGCACACGAGGUAAAUCCUCGAGCUGACGCAAUAGCUUGCAAACUACGUCAGUCAGGUAAACCGCACUAAGCAAGCCCGAUGCAAUAGGCUCGACCGAGAAAGUAUUGGUGGGGAGAAUCGAACUCGUGAUCAAAGACCUCUGCGUUCACCUACUCCAUCAACUCGGUUACCCCAUGAGAGACAAAUAGGUUCAUAUUUAUUGUACAAAAGGAGUUUCAUGGCUAAGGGGAAAGAUGCGCGAGUAACGGUGAUGGAAGAUGAGUAAAUUCCUAGAUCUAAGAUGUGAACAAAAUUCUACCCAUAACACCUGUCAGCUUUUUGUCUGAAUAAGGAAUAUUUGCCUAUUUAUAUAACAGAUCAUAUGAUAGGACACAAAUUGGGAGAACCCUAUUGGUCCAGGUCAUUUCGGGACAAACAAAUCAUUUAUGAUGAAGAGGAUGAUCAGAACAAGCGAGGAUACACGUUACACCAUAAUUUUGAAUUAGAAGAGAGAUUUCAAGAAAUAGCUUUUCGAUGGCCUCCCUUGCAUUACCAGGUAUGAGUGAGAGCAAACAUCUAAUAAUGGAUUCGAAAUUGUAACCAAGCGUCGCCCAUUGGUUCUAUCUACUCAAAAAUCAGUAAAGUCAAAAUAUAUCUUUUCUCUGCGAAUCAUUUUUUGAACAAUGGUGUUAGAAAGGGGCUUCGAAAGAACUCUUAAAAGAAGAAGGAUGCAGCUAGCAUUCUACAAAACUUAUAAGGGCCAUGCAAAUCUUUCUAAUUCUACAGCCCUAUUUAAUUCCAGGCCUCCAUAAAAAAAGAAGGAAAACCCAAGAAACAACAUUAUCAAAAGCAACAUAGAAACAUCAGCCAUCAACCUAUUUUUUGAGAUCUUCAGUUUUACACAAGGGUGUACUGACCAACACUUUAGCGUGAGGAGUGUAAAAUGAUUGGAGUAUAUUAGCUCUCCAUAUAUAAAUACCACUCAUAGUCGUCAUCAAUCCCCUAUUCUAGCAUUUACUUCGAUGUUUCUAUUUAUUAUAUCAUUCGAAAGUUCUAUUUUAGUAAUCCUAUAGAAAUUUAGAAAAUCCUGGCAUACGACAAGACAAUGGAAGAUCAACCUCAAUGCCUCUUGUCUUCCUUUGAAAAAGACCUUGCCUCCUAUUCUUCAUAGUAUUCAAUGUAAACAGAUAGCAAAUUGGUCACCGGCAAUUAGUGGUCAUAAAAAUUUCCAAGUCUAGAUUAAAGUGUGAUCUCCUCCACCAACCAAAAUUUUAACAUUUUUCUAUUUAGAAUUCAUGAACAUUAUAUAAUCACCUCGAGAAAUGAAAAAUCAAGAAAAAAAAUAUUUGAAAAAUCAAGGUAGCCGAUCAAUACAAGGAAAACAAUACUCACACUGUUGCUAUACAUAAGAUCUAAAACCCUACACAUUACCAGCCUCAAACUCAGACAACCUCGUUAUUAGUAUUCAAUCCUCGUUAUAUUGAUAAAAAUCCACUACAUACCAAAAUGUAUCAAACAUUGCACCAUCAGUAUUAAAUUCACUAUUCCUAAAUAUAUAAUGUCAUCCAUCAGAAUAAGUAACACCCUAAACACACACACACACACAUAUAUAAAAGGACUUUGGGGGGCCCCGGGGGGGGGGGGCUAGAAACUUACAGCACGUGAGGAAAUUGUACUUAUCAUUGGUGUUAUUAUUGAAUUUUGCCAUAAGUCUCUCAGCGUGGGCCUCGGUACUCUCAUCUUCGAUCGUGAAAUCGAAAACUGAGAAUUUAUUGCUCAUCGUAGUACCGCUGCAAUUGCUUCUACUUUCGAUAGUAGAAUUCUUCUUUGAUUUUCUUUUUUUCAUCAUCGUAAUUUGGGAGGGAAAAAAAGGGGUUUCGAAAAGUAGCGAAGAUUUAAAAAGUGGGUUUGAUAUAGAGAUUAUUGACGAAUUUUUCAGUUCAUCAGGAUCAAGAUUGAAGUUCUGCCCACGCAGGCAUAGCAUUUGCAUUCUCCUUUUGAGAGAGAGAAGAAAUUACAGAUGGGGUUCCCAACUAUUAAAAAUGUAGCAUGUCCCAACGUGAUAUUUUGGAAGCUGAAUGCCCAACCUUUCAUUUUGUAACAUUUGGGUCCUUAAUUGAAAAAUUUACCACCCAUUUCAGUAAUUAUUAAUUAAAACUCAAUUUUUUUUGUUAAAAAUAUAACUUUACUCUAAAGUUGAAAUAAACGGAAAAAAAAAAAAAAUCAAUAGUAACCUAACUAGUAACUAGUGUUGCUCCCAACUCUUGGUGAAUAAUUUUUAUAGUAAUAUUAUUUAGUCCCACUAGGUACAUAACUCCAGUUUAGGUGGCACUAAUGUAGAAUUAAAUAAUAAGUGAAAUUAAACGAGUUAUUUAAUUUUACCUUUCUUUUUAUUUAUUAUUUAACAUCAAUUAAAUAAUGGGUUCACAUAACAUUACUCCGAUUUUUAUUGUUUUGUUCUCUCUUUCUCUCCCUUUUUUUUCCUUAGUUGAACUAAAGAUAAAAUCAUAUUUUUCUUAAAGAAAAGGUAAAACGUUGCUCUAGGGGCUCAAAUAGCAAAACAAACUUGAAACAUUUCCAAUAGAUUAGAGACCUUAAGUGUAAUUUUCUCUUUGAAAAAUAAAGUUUUAUUGCGAAAUUUAUUGGUUUGGGAUCCGUACAAAUGAACCGGGUGGCCGCAACACAAGUAAGCGUCCAUUGAUCAUAUCGAAAUUAUAAUUUUUCUUUUUUCUUACUAACCAUACGUUUCUAUUAAAAUAAUAUUAUAUACAAUCUCAAAAACUUAUUAUUCUUUGUUAACCACGCAUUUAAAAAAAAAAAAAUACUAUUCAAGUAAGCAUUCUUUGGUCAUGUCAAAAUUAUAAUUUUUUUUCUUGUUAACCACACAUUUUUAAUAAAAUAAUAUUAUGUCCCUAUUUGUUUUCCAUUCUUUCUACAUUAAAAUGAAAAAUAUGAUCGUUAUCCAUCACAUCAAACCAUCAAAUUUGAAUUUCUAUCUCUUGUGUGGGACCCAUAACAACUAUUUUUUUCAUUAUCAUUUUUACAAAAAUGAGAAACAAACGCCCCUCUAUAUAUAAUCUCAAAAAUCAUUCUUCUUUGUUAACCACAUAUUUAAAAAAAAAAUACUAUUCCAACCAUUAAAAUUUCAAUUAAUAGGGCCAAAAGGUUCUAAAAGUUGAUAAAAUUUUAAAAUUAAUUUCAAUGCAUAUUUUAUGUAAUUUAUAACUUUUUAACCUCAUUUUUAUCAAUUUUUAUCAAAAUUUACUAAAAAUUUAAUUUUAAUCUACACAAGAUAUUGACCAAUUUUUCUUUAAUACGAAUUCCCCAAAGGUGACAUUGUAUAAUUUAUAUUAAACAUAUUUUGAUACAAAUUCUUUAAAAUUCAUUAUGAUACAAACAAGUGUUUGUCUAAGAAUUCGGAAAAAACCCAACUAUAUUAAACCUCGGUGCAAGUUAAAAUUUAAAUUUUAAUCUAAAUCAAGGUUAAUAAUUAAAUUUAAUCACAUAUUUUAUAGAUUUUCAACAAUUUUCUAACCACAUAUUUUAUCUACUUUUAUCAAAAUCAACUAAAAAUUUAAUUUUAAUCCUCACCAAAUAGAUGCUAAGGCUUCGAGAUUCAAUUAGAAGUCCUCUCAUCGUCCAAAUUUGAGCAUAGCUUGAUUCAGUACCUAUCAAUGUCAUUCUUGAACCUUUCGAGCAUUUGGUAUUCUCACUAUAAAAAAUAUCAAUAUCAAUUACAACAAUAAAUGAAAAAAUAAAUAUAUUAUCGUAAAUAAUAUUUUCUAUAGAUUAGUGCUUGUCACAUAAAAAUUGCAAUAAAUAAUUUAGUAUGGAACACGCCAUAUCCACCUUAUUGUCGAAUGAAUCCCCCAACCGGUUUCGUGUUGCCUGGAUUGUCAAUGGCAGUUGUCUUUUUCUUGUGAAUGUAUCAAUUUCCUUACUGUCAAAAAUGGAUAUUACUACCUACUUACACGUGGCAAUUAGAUGGUUAGGAUAUGAAUUGGCAGGCAUAAAAUUGGAAGGAAAAACAUUGAGAAGUUGAACUAACACACCCUUCUUCCAACCAACCCAGCCAAAUUUUGUGCUGCUUCUCCACGUCUCAUGUCUAUAUAAACUUGAGCAUAUAGUUUUACGUAUAAUCAGAUUGAGACUGAAACAAUUUGCUACACAAGUGUUAUUGAGUCACUUUGUCUUUGGUCAGAACAAUGGCUUGUAAUAAGCGCACCCCUUUUUUCUUGUUUUUGCUGAUAGCUUUACUAUCUAUAUUUGGAAACACGAUUCAAGCUGGAGCACGACGACUUUCGGAGACCUCGCCUGAGGUUCCGACACUAUCAAAGCCAGAGCUUCCACCAAAACCUGAAGUGCCUACAUUGCCUAAACUCGAGGUGCCAACGCUGCCAAAGCCUGAGCUUCCACCGAAACCUGAGUUGCCAACGAUGCCAAAGCUAGAGUUCCCACCAAAGCCUGAAUUGCCUAAGCCUGAGUUGCCUACUGUGCCAAAGUUCGAGGUGCCAACAUUACCAAAGCCAGAGCUUCCAGCAAAACCUGAAUUACCUAAGCCAGAGUUGCCCACAAUGCCAAAACUUGAGGUGUCAAAACCCGAGGUGGCAAAGUUACCUAAUCCAGAGCUCCCACCAGAACAUGAAUUGCCUAAGCCCGAGGAGCCCACGGUGCCAAAACCUGAGGUGCCAACAUUGCCAAAACCAGAGAUCCCACCAAAACCUGAGAUGCCAACCUUGCCAAAGCCAGAGCUUCCAACACUACCAAAGCCAGAGCUCCCAUCAAAACCCGAAUUGCCUAAGCCCGAGUUGCCCACGGUUCCAAAACCCGAGGUGCCAACAUUGCCAAAGCCAGAGCUCCCACCUAAGCCUGAGUUACCUAUAGAGUCCAAACCCGAGGUACCAACAUUGCCAAAGCCAGAGUUCCCAGUUAAACCCGAAUUGUCUAACUCAGAGUUGCCUGCAAUGCCGAAACUUGAGGUGUCAAAACCCGAGGUGCCAACACUACCAAAGCCAGAGCUCCCACCAAUACCUGAGUUGCCUCCUUUGCCUAAGCCAGAGUUACCUACAUUACCAAAACCUGAGAUUCCAACAAUUCCAAAGCCUGAAAUGCCAACUUUGCCAAAACUUGAAGUACCUAAACAACCUGAGCUUCCUAAACCCACUCUGCCAGAAGUACCAAAAUCCCCAUAAACUACAAAUUUCUAUUAAGUAAUCAUAGUUGGAUUUCAUUCAAUUAUAUUGAUGAAUUUGUUUAGGAUUCAUCCCUUCAUCUUCUAGGAUGAUUUCAUCAUAUCAUGUCAUAGUCAUACUUGUGUUGUUGUUUUGUCAUUAUUUACUAUCUUGUAAUGGUUAUUCAUGAGUUACAGAUAGCCUACGUUUGAUUGUCAUUUAUACAUUUACGAUUUAUAUAUGCUUUUGUUUCAUUUAUUUCAUACGAGUUUUGAGUUUUCUUGAUACUGAUCAAUUUCGUUAUUUUCAAUAUUGGACAAAAUUUUCUUCCAAAAUAAUAGUAUCUUUUCACUUGAAGAACUAUUAUAUUAUUGUAUGGAUAAAAAAAGUCUCCAUCUCUCUCAUGGCUGGCCCCAGACUCGAGCAAAGGGGGUUAAAAUUAUCAAAUAAUCUUCACAAUAUUAAAGGAAAAAAGUUCUGUAAGAGUUAUUUUUUAGUACAGUUGUGCUAUGCGUAUAAUCGGGGUUGACAACCCCGGUUGACAAUUAGACACAUGGGAAGGGGCCCACGUUAAAUAAAAAAAUCGUGAGUCUCCCCUCCUGUGAGUGCAUUGUCAACUGGAGUUGUCAACCCCGAUUGUAAUUUGUACAAGAUGAAUAAUUCUUUUUAGUAUGUCAUUUCUGUAGAAAAUUCUGCAAUAUGACCAUCUCACCUGUAACAAGAAGAAAAAUAAACGUAAAUUUGAUUGUUGAAUUGUUUUUAUUUUCACAAUUCGUUGUAUUUUAGAUACUGCUUAUGGAAUGGAAUUAGUAAUUUGCCCCUGAUUGAUGUUGUAAUAUAUUACUUAAGCGGAAAAAGUUCCUUUUUAUUUAAAUAUUGUUAUCGAAAAUUUAGUUCUUACUUAUAUUCUAAUGAUGUAAUUCUUUGUAGCACAAUUAAUUAUAGAAAAAAAAAAUGAUCCAGUUAUGAUAAUGUAAUCAAUCAGACAUAUUGACGACCGACUUGAAUUUCCUGAUAAAUAAAUACUAAUUUAGUGAAAUAUUGGAUGUGUCGAAGUGACUAUUAUGACAAAAAAUUCAAUUCAUCGACAUCAUUGUGACAAAUUGAUUAAGUAAAAUUUUGUUAAAAGAUCAAUAACGUAUAGUUUGUGCUUACCCAAUUUCAUUCUAAUCUGAAACGCGAUUCAAAAUUCUCUAAACAAUUAAGAUUAACGAGUUUGAAAACAUAAAUUAUAUAUAUCGAUGUAUGUGUUGAGAUAGAUUUCCCCCCCUCACGUCUAUGGAAGCCUCUGAAAAAUUCAUCUUUGUUUGAAACAGUAAGAUCAUUCGUCUAAAUUUGAUUAUGUUAAAUAUUAGCCAGGGUUGUUCAUCGAGAUUAUAGACUAUAAUUUACUUUGGGGCUUAAAGAUGAUCCCAAAAUGUUAAAUAUGCACUUUUUUGUUUACCCAAUUUCAUUCUAAUCAAGAAACAUGAUUGAAAUUUCUCUAUACAAUCAAGAUAUACUAGUCUUCAGAACGUAAGUUAUUGAUGUAUGCGACUUUGACAUGUACAGCACGUGUAAUUGAACUUGAUAUGUGACUAUGAUAUUUUUGUUAAACAAUCCAAAGAAAUAUAAAGAAGAAAAAGGAGGAGGCUAGGGUUUCAUUGAUGCUACAUUAAUUAAUUGAAUGCUAAAGAUAGUUUAACCUAAAUAUAAAGAGAAUAUAUAUAGGCUAAACAAAGGAAACUAAAAGGACUAUUCUACCCUUAAUAAAUAAUAAAUAAUUCUAUAUUUCUUAAUAUUUCCCCUCAAACUCAUGAUGCGGCAGCUACAAGCAUCGAGAGUUUGCCAACUAGAAAAUGAAAACGAGAAAUAGAAUGCGACUUGGUAAAAAAAUAUGCAAGCUGCAAAGAAGAAGAAACAAAGGGCAAAGUAAUUGUGCCAUACUUGAGAUGAUGAUGAGUAAGAUGACAAUCGAUCUCAAUGUGCUUAGUUCGUUCAUGAAAAACCGAGUUGUGAGCAAUCUGAAUAGAACUUUGGUUGUCGCAAUACAUAGGAGUGGGAUGAGAAAGAAAAACUCCCAUAUCUGCAAGUAACCAACGUAACCAAACAAUCUCUUUAUUAGUAGAUGCCAUAGCACGAUACUCUGCUUCGGUGGAAGAUUGAGAAACAAUAGAUUGUUUCUUGCUUUUCCAAGAAAUAAGAGAAUCACCCAAAAAGAUACAGAAACCAGUAACAGACUUGCGAUCUGUGGGAUCACUGCCAUGAUCAGCAUCAGAGUAUGCACGCAGCUCCAAGGAGGAGGUGGAUGGAAGUAACAGACUCUAAAAGACUGUACCCCGAAGAUAUCGCAAAAUGCGAAGAACAGCUGCCCAAUGAAUUGUAGUGGGAGAAGCAACAAACUGACUAACAAUAUGAACAACAUAUGCAAUAUCUGGACGAGUAAUAGUGAGAUAUACCAAGCUCCCAACAAUAGUACGGUAUAAAGUAGGAUCUGACAAAGGUAAACCGUCAGAAGAAGAAUACUUCGCGUUAACCUCAAUUGGAGUAUCAACAAUCUUAUUAUCAGUAAGUCUUGCCCGCUCAAGAAUAUCUGCAACAUAUUUCGACUGAGAAAGAAGAUAACCUCUGGGUGAGAAGGCUACCUCAAUACCCAAGAAAUAUCGUAGAGAACCUAAAUCUUUCAUUUCAAACUGUCUAGCUAACUCUGUCUUCAAAACUGAAAUACUAUCAAUAUCAUCACCAGUAAUAAUCAUGUCAUCAACAUAUCAAGAUAGAAUGAUACGACCUGCAUCAGUGCUCUUAACAAAAAGAGUAGAAUCAUGACUAAUAGAAGCAAAUCCAAGGGAAGAGAUCACAACAGAAAAUUUCUCAAACCAAGCACGAGGUGCUUGUUUGAGACCAUACAAUGCUUUCUUGAGCUUGCAAACAUACUCAGAAUCAUGUGAAACACCAGGAGGGGGUGCCAUAUAAACCUCUUCUUGAAGAUCUCCAUUCAGGAAGGCAUUUUUAACAUCAAGUUGAGAGAUACGCCACUGACGAACUGAAGCUACUGCAAUAAGAAUACGAAUAGUAGUCAUUUUUGCAACAGGAGCAAAUGUCUCCUCAUAAUCCAUACCAUACUGUUGAGAGUAUUCCUUUGCAACCAACCUAGCUUUGUAUCGCUCAAUUGACCCAUCAGAAUUAGUCUUGAUCUUAUACACCCAACGAAAACCAACAACACUCUUACCAGAAGGUAAAGGAACCAAAUUCCAAGUACCAGUCUUAUGCAAAGCAGAAAGUUUCUCAUUCAUAGCUUGCUGCCAAAGAGGAUCAAGAAUUGCCUCUUUAUAGGAAGAUGGCUCAGAGAGACAAUGAAUAGAAGCUAAAAAGGUAGAAAAUGAUGAAGAAUAACAAGAAUAAGCAAAAUCUGGUAACUUUGUAGACUUACAAAUGCGUAUGGAUUGACGUAGAGGCGGAUCCACAAUCUCAGACGGAGCUUGAGGGACCGUAGGAGAAGAGGACGCUUUAGGUGUGCCGGAGAGUAAAGUGUCAGUACCUGCGGAAUGAUUAGUACGAGUUGGUUGUAAAGAUGACGGCGUAGGAACAUGAGAAUGGACAUUUGAAGUAGUAGGCUCCUGAGAAGACAAACUAUCAGGAUUGUCAGAAAAAGGAUCUAUACGAAUAAGAUCAGAUCUAGUCAGACUAUGAGUAGUGGAUGGAAUAGAAAAGAAAGGUAUAUGCUCGAGAAAAACAACAUGACGAGACACAUAAAGUUUCUGAGUUAUUGGAUCAAAACAACGAUACCCCUUUUUACCUUCACCAUAACCAAGAAAGACACAAAUUGCAGAUCGAGAUGACAACUUGUUGCGUUCUACAUGAGGACGAAGAACGAAAUAAGUACAACCAAAAACUCUAAAGAGAGAAUAAUCAGGGGUAUACCCAUACAACUUUUCGAAAGGAGAAAACCCUGAAAUAUGAGAAGAUGGAAUUGUAUUAAUCAAACGUAUAGCAGUAAGAACAGCUUCACCCCAAAACACACUAGGGACAGAUGCAGACAACAAGAGAGAACGAGCAGUUUCAACAAUGUGCCAUUGUUUUCUUUCAACAACACCAUUUUGCUCAGGAGUAUUUGUACAUGAAAUUUGGUAAAUAGUUCCAUCUAAAGCAAGCAGCUCACAAAAUUUAUUAGAAGUGUAUUCCCCACCCAAAUCACACCUAAAACAUUUGAUAACAACAGAAUGUUGAGUUUUAACAAGAGCACGAAAGGCUAAGUAUAUCUCAAAAAAUUCAGAACGAUGUUUCAUUAAAUAAACCCAACAAUAACGAGUGUGAUCAUCAAUAAAAGAAACAUAAUAUCGAUACCCUCCUUUUGUGGCAACAGUAGAAGGCCCCCAUAUAUCAGAAUGAAUCAAAUCAAAUGGAGAAGAAGAAACAGAAAUACUUCGAUUAAAAGGUAAAGCUGAAAAUUUUGCCAGUUUGCAUCCACUACAAUCAGAAAUAUCACAAGGGUGUAAAUUUCCUAAAGCUCCUGUAGAAGCUAAAAAUCUCAAACGAGAUGACGAAACAUGACCUAGAUGAGAAUGCCAUAAAUAAAAACUAGAAGAAGAAGGACUCAAACGAAAUGAAGACAAAUCAACACUAGUAGCGGCAGUAGCAACUGGCACUUUUAGCUCAUCCAAAAUAUAUAGUCCACCCUUCCUACGGCCUGUCCCAAUCAGCUUCUGAGACUGCAGACCCUGCACAUAACAAGAAGAAGAGGAAAAUGUGACUAAAUUGCCAGAAUCACAUAACUGACCAACAGAAGCAAGAUUUAAUGUGAGUUUCGGAAUAUGAUAAACAUUAGGGAGGGAUAAGUCAGGUGUGACAACAGAACCAACACCUGCUAAUGGCAUAGGUGUGCCAUCAGCAGUCAUGAUAGCAAUAGAGGACGAAGGGCACACAGAAGCAAAAGACGAAGAAUCUGGAGACAUAUGAUGUGAAGCACCAUAAUCCAAGACCCAUACAGAAUGUGACAUACCUGAAGAACUAUGAGGCAACUGACCUAUGGAAGAAGCAGACAUAGCUUGAGGCUGUAAGAAGAGAAACUUCUGAAAUUGCUCAGCCAAAGUACUAGGAUCAGUGAUAAGACCUGAUGAAGCUACUGCUGCAGUAUUAGAUUGUGGUGGUCUAUGAGCAUUAGAUCGUGAUUGGUUGCCAGGCUUCCAAGCUUGAGAUUGCUGCUGUAAUUGAUUUGACUGUCUCAACUUAGAACACUAAACCUUCCAAUGACCUUUAUGCUUACAGAAACUGCACUCGUCAAAGGCAACCCUUGUGUAAGGCUUAUUUUGAUUAUUAGAGGAUGGCUUAGAAGACACUGCUAAUACAGAAAGCUUAGAAGCAGAAAGAAUUCCAUUUUCAGCAUAAGACUUAAGACGUAUUUCUUCAGCCAAUAACUCUCUGACAACUGAGUCAACAGAAGGAAGUGGAGAACGAUGCAAAAUUGAACCUCUGAGUCCUUCAAAAUCACUGCGAAGUGCCGUUAAAAAUUGUACCAACCGUUGCUGCUCUCUAUAAGUAAUAUAGGCAGCACAUGCCUUUAAUUCUGUCGAUUCUGUAAGGGCCAAUUGAUCCCAAAGAUCUGUCAUAGCAGAAUAAAACUCCUAAAUACCCAUAUUAUUCUGAUGAAGAGCUCGUAUAUCAUUCUCCAAUUGAUACUGCUUUGCAAAUUUUGACUAAGUGAAUAAUCUUUGCAGAUGAUCCUAAACCUCCUUUGCUGUCUCAUACUUCGCCAACUCUCUACCUAUGGAAUGCUCCACAGAGUUUUUAAUCCAAGUAAUAAUUUUUGAAUUAUUUGAUUCCCAGGCAUCUAUCAAAGCAGCAUAACCCUCAUUAGUAUUCUCAGGUUUCACAGAAGUUCCACUAAUGAAUCUCCACAUCUUUUUACCCUUAAGAAAAUUUCUCAUCACGUAACUCCAAUACGAAUAAUUCUUUCCAUCCAACCUCACACUCACAGACUGAAGGGAAUCGUCUCUUUCAGUAGCCAUAAUAAAAAUAAUAAUAGAUUGCAGAAAUACCAGAUUGCAGAAAUACCAGAUUUAACAGAUUGCAGAAAUGCCAAAAAUAAUUUGGAUCCACGAAAGCUGUGUUUGAGAUUAAGUUUUGUCUCGUGAAAUUUGGCUCUGAUACCAUGUUAAACAAUCCAAAGAAAUAUAAAGAAGAAAAAGGAGGAGGCUAGGAUUUCAUUGAUAUUACAUUAAUUAAUUGAAUGCUAAAGAUAGUUUAAGCUAAAUACAAAGAGAAUAUAUAUAGGCUAAACAAAGGAAACUAAAAGGACUAUUCUACCCUUAAUAAAUAAUAAAUAAUUCUAUAUUUCUUAACAAUUUUAAGGUUGAUUUUGCCCCCUCGCGUGUAUGGAAGUGUGUCUCUAAAAGUUCAUCUUUACUUGAACCAAUAAGAGCAUUCGUCUAUAUUUGAUUAUGUUCAAUGUUAGUCAGAGUUGUUCAUCAAGAUCAUUCCAAAAUGUUAUAUACGCUCACUUUUUAUGGGCUCUAUUUGGUUUAACAUUAGUAUCAUUAAAUCUAGUUGGGAAGGUGAGGAUUGGGUGGCAAUGGACUGAGUUUUAAUAUGUAGAUGCGCUUCUUAUGUCCACCAGCUAAAGUGGUAAAGUUUGACGAGUGACGAUUCACGUACAUAAAUUUUUUUUUUUACAGACACCUUACAGAAUACACAUAGGAUGGGGUGGGUGAGUUAUUUUUUGGAUUAUUUUACUCAGUAUCUGGAAUUCUUCUAUCAAGGAUUUUUCCAAGUUUGAUAGUAAGGUAAUUAAGAAAAAUUUUAACAAAAAUUAAUAAGUAUUAAUAUUCACAUCACAAUUUUUUCUUAUUGCAUCACAUUUUAAUACACAAGUUUUCAGAGUUGGCUCAUUAUAACAUUUAUGUUCUUAACUUUUUCCAUUGAUUUUUAUAUUCAAAUUUUCAUUAAUUAAGACAUCUCAUAUUUGUUAAGUAUUUCAGUCCAAAAAGUGCGGGGGAGAACAUUAAAAAAUUUAUUUACCUAUCAUAUUUACUUGCGUCAAAAUAUUUUUCUCUACGGGCGCGUUUGAAUGCAAGCAUGAAAUUUGCAUGGAAAAAAAUAAAUUUUAGGUAAUUUAAUUGCUUAAAACUUAUUUACAUGAAAAUUAUCAAUUAAAUUUGUUUGAUUGAUUUAAUUUUCAACCUAAAAAAUAUUAUACUUUUUCGUUUUUUAUUGGUGGGUAAGUGAAAGAGAGUUAAUAGAUAAGAGAGAAAGAAAAGGGAAUUCCCUGAAAAAUAAAAUCAUACUCUCUCUAAAGAAUAUAUUUUCCUUGAUUUUGAGGAAAAUAUGGCCACAUGACCAAAAGUAAGAAAAUAUUUUUCGUAGAAAAAAAUGACAAUCAAACAAUAUAAAAGUAGGAAUUUGUAUGAAAAAACACAUUGUUCAUGAAAAAUAUUGACAAUCAAACACACCCUAAGUUUGAAGUAUGAAAAUGGAAUAUUUUUUCAAGAAAUUAUCAUUAACAAUAAGAUAGUGAAAAUUUGAAGAUAAAAAUUCGAUGAAAAAGCUAAUAAUAUACCUACUAUAAUGAUUAAAGCUUGAGAUCAUUGAGUUCAAUUAAAAUAUGAUACAACAAAUGAAAAAUGUGAUUCCAAAUAUAACCACAAAAAAACAAUUCAACCUACCCGCAAAGGCCAUGUUGAAUAAAAAAAUACGAAUAAAUAAAUUUCUACCUUUUCCCCUCCAUAUAUUUUACCUUUUGAUAAUUCAUAUAAUAAAGCUUAACUAAUCUCCACCAAGGACAAUGCAGAAAGUCUAUAUUUGAUUUUGAUUAGUUGAUGUCACUUAUUUUUCACUUUAUUUUCGAUCGUGCAUUCUUAGAAAAAUCAUUUUUUUAAUUUUCAUAAUUUUCUUUAUUUCCUUCAAUAAAAACGUUAAGAAUUUGACAAAGUUGACAAAUUCUCUCACGUAUGUGAGUCAAUUUCACAAUUCUCUCAUAUAUAUGAAUUUUACUUCAACAUCAAUUGAUCAAAGAAAACAAUCUUGUCUCAUAAUGUGACUCAUCAAAACCCUAGUAAGAAAAGUUGAAAAAAUUGCAAGAACCUCAUAAUCGGUCGACACUCGAAAUGGUACUAUAAUUUAUCCAAGUCUAACAUUAUUGAUCGAAAUUGGACCAAAGUCGACAUUUCGAAGUCAUCCUUAAUCCUUGUGAAAGUCAUAUAGAGCCACGAAUCCCAUUCUUUAACAUAUUGCAUAAUUAACAAUGACAUUCGUCUAUUACUACUUACCAAUUUGAGCUUUGAAUCCUUGUGGAUUUGAUUAGGUAAAUUGUCCAUAACUGGCAAAUUAAAACAAUUUUUUUAUCUUGAUCCCAAUGGGACAAUUUGUCCGUAGCAAUUAGAUAGUUAGGGUAUGAAUUAGCAGAUAGAAAUUUGGAAGGAAAACAUUGAGAAGUUGAACUAAUGCUUGCUUCUUUCUACCAACCAAGCAAACAUUUCUGCAGUUUCACCACAUGUCAUAUCUAUAUACACUUGAGAACAUAAAAAUUUAUGCACAAAUCAGAUCAAGAUUGAAACAAUUCUCUAGAAAAUGUUGCUCAGUCACUUUCGUAUCCGUUAGAAAAAAAGGCUUUCAAUAAGCACAUCCCUUUUUUCUUGUUAAUGUUGAUAGCAUUGCUAUCGAUAUGCGGAACAAGAUUCAAGUCGAGGCAUACAUCUCUUAGAAACUUCGGAUGAGGUUCCAACACUGGCAAAGCCAAAUCUUUCGCCAAAACCUAAGUUGCCAACACUGCCUUGUAUGGAGAAUAACCUUGUGCGAAUCCACACCGAAAAGAUUGAAAGAUAACUUCUCUUCCAAUUAUUUUUCUUUCUUCCAGCAGCUUGGUUUUCUUCUCUUUUUUCCCUAGCCAAAGUCUCCUUUAUAUUUUCUAUGUAGCAGCUACAGAUUGAGUUUCUUCCCAGUAGCCUCAGUUUUUCUCUUCUUGCAUACACAACCACGUUUUUGGGACCAUAUGUGUGUGUGUGUGCAACUUUUGUUGACCUAAAGAAAAUAAAGAGGUGUUUGGGCCUUUUAUUCGUCAUGGGCUGGAGCCUAUAUAACAAUUUUCCCCUCCAGCCCACCGAGAAAGAGGUUAUCCUCUAACAAGUUAGUUAGAGUCUAUGUCAGCCAAAGCGGCACAAAGCUCAAGCGUUUCUUUGGUCACAAUCUUUGUCAUCAUAUCAGCUGGAUUCUUCUCAGCUCUAACAAUAUCAACUAUUCUGCUACUACUUGUCUUAACCAAUGAUAUCUCACAUAAAUGUGUUAUGUGUUGGCAUGAGUCAUUAAAAUCACAAGAAAAUAGAAACCUUAGCUGUAUGCUUGUAACAAAUCCCUUAAUUCAAGGAUCCACCAUGAGUUCAGCCGUGUAUAGUGUAUAGGCUAAGAAUAGGUCUUGAAAUAAUUCCUUCUUGUAUCUAUAUAUUCCGUAAAUGUUUCAAAGGAAAAUAUAUGACAGUUUAUAAGAAAAUUCACUCUAUGACAUGGUAUCAGAGCAUGGUCUUGGGCUUCCUGUGAACUGAUAGAGAAAGGGAACCCAAAUAGCUUGGAAUCCAUGGCUGACUCCACCGAUUUGGUAUAGCCACCAAACACCUCCACUGAUUCAAUUCUUGACAACCUUACAACCAAAACGACAGAGGCUUUGACAAAGGUCCAGACCACAUCACAAUUGCCGAAUACCGAUUCCCCUACUGUGCCGAUUAGCAUUAAGUUGGAAAGAUCCAAUUAUGCUAUAUGGUCCCAGGUGGCUGAGAUGUACAUCUCAGGCAAGGGCAAACUGUGAUACAUUAAUGGAGACUUUCCUCAACCUUCUGAAACAGAUCCGAUAUUUCGUAAAUGGCGUACCGAGAAUGCGAUAGUGAAAGGAUGGCUGAUAAACUUAAUGGACCCGUCUCUGGUCGUGAAUUUCAUCCGCUUCCCAAUGGCCAAACAGGUUUGGGACUCCAUUGCUACUACAUAUUUUGAUGGAACUGAUACUUCACAAAUUUAUGACCUCCGGCGUAGGGUAACUCGGAUGCGGUAAGGAGGAGGAUCAAUUGAAAAAUACUACAAUGAUUUACAAGGGCUGUGGCGUGAGAUAGACUUCCGACGUCCUAAUCUUAUUGAGUGUGCAACAGAUAUACAAAAAUACAAUUCCUUACUACAGGAGGAAAGAGUCCACAUUUUCCUAGAUGGAUUAGAUGACCGACUCGAUAACAUUCAGAGCGAUGUACUCCAACUAAAACCUUUUCCACAAUCGAGCAGGCUUAUGCACACGUUCAAAGGGAGGACACUCGCCAGGUUGUGAUGAUAUCUGGGACUGAGAUUAUAGCCAGUGGUGCUGUUAUGGCCACUAAAAGCUCGAAACCUAGCCAACAACCAAAGCUGGUGACUGGGAAACACAACUCAUUUUCCAAGUUGAAGGGUCCAUCCGAUGGAGAAAUAUGUACACACUGUGGAAAUACCAAACACACUCGUGAUACUUGCUUCAAGUUGCAUGGGUAUCCCGAGUGGUGGCAUGAGCUGCAAGCUAGGAAGAAAAGAAACACCACAGCACUUGAGGAAGGCACGAGCAAAGCUGCUGUAGUCACGGCCGGGUCUCAACUCUCGCUUAUCCCUUUAACUGAUUCUUCCACUUCUGUAGACCAAGGUAACUGUGGACAAGUUUUUUGUAGUUCUAAUUCAUAGGAUGCGGGUGCUUGGAUUAUAGACUUUGGGGUUACAGAUCACAUGACUUUUGACCCCAAGGACUUCUCACAUACAACUCAACCACGGUGGACUUGCGUUGCUAAUGCAAACGGAGUUACAUAUCCAGUCACAGGGGCUGGAACCGUGCCAUUAUCACCCUCACUAUCCUUAUCCCAUACUCUCCUUGUCAUUUCAUUAUCAAAUAAAUUAAUGUCUGUAAGUCAAGUAACCGAGGAACUCAAUUGUGUAGUAUUGAUCUAUCCUACCUUUUGUCUUCUCCAGGAUGUUCUCAGCAAGGAGAUUAUUGGGCGUGGUACUAAGAGGAGGGGGUUAUAUUACUUAGAUGAUUUCAGCUGAGGAACAAUACAUCACGUGCAUUAUCAGAUCAGUAGCAAAGAACGGGAAAUAUGGUUGUGGCAUCGUCACUUGGGGCAUCCAUCAUUCGGUUACUUGAAGCACUUAUUUCUGAAUUUAUUCUUACAUUUACAUAAUGUUGAGUUUAAAUGUGAUACUUGUAUUUUGGCUAAGAGCCAUAGAAUUUCCUACCCUGCAAGUUUGAAUAGAAGUAUCGUUCCCUUUGCUUUAAUACAUUCUGAUGUUUGGGGACCCUCCCCUAGAAUUACUCUAUCUGGUCACUGUCGGUUUGUAAUUUUUGUGGAUGACUACACCUGAAUGACAUGGCUUUACCCUAUGAAGACCAAAGAUGAGUUGUUUCCAAUAUUUCAGGCUUUUCAUGGAAUGAUUCAAAACCAAUUUUCUGCCAAGAUUCAAGUUCUUCGGUUAGAUAAUGGAGGGGAGUUUGUCAAUCACCAUUUCCAAGCAUACUUCAAGUAGCAUGGUCUCCUCCAUGAAACCUCAUAUCCUCAGACCCCCUAACAGAAUGGCGUCGUCAAACAAAAAAAUCGCCAUAUCCUGGAGACAACCCGUGCUCUUCUUCUCGUUACACACGUUCCAACACGCCAUUGGGGUAGUACCGUGGCUACAGCUGUAUUCCUACUCAAUCGCAUGCCCUCCAAAGUCUUGCACUUUAAAACUCCCUUGCAAGUGCUCUCCUCUCAUGUCUCUUUACCUAUUGUGCUGAUGCUCCCUCCUCGGGUUUUUGUUUGUGUGGUCUUUGUUCACCUCCACAAAAACCAAUGUCCCAAGCUUGAUCCAUGUGCUGUUAGAUGUUUGUUUUUGGACUACGAGGUACAUAAAAAGGCUACAUUUGCUUUGACCCUACUACUAACAAAACAUAUACCACAAUGAAUGCCACCUUUCUUGAAUCCGAGCCUUUCUUUUCUCCUAUGGUACCCAAUUCAGAUCUUCAGGGAGAGUCUAUGGAUGAAGAGUUGAAUUGGUUAACGGCGGCUCCUGCUACCGAUGAGAAGAGACAAAUAGGAGAGCAUCAAACUGAAGUUGAAGGAACCAAAAAUAAUGAAACUACAAAGCUGGAGGAUUUGAACAUAGCUGAAGUUGAGAGUGAAGAAGUUCCUGUCAAUGGAGAGUCUAUAAACUAAGAAAGUCAAGAACCGCUUCCCUCGAUAGUACCUGACUCUUCUACUGAGAACAAUCCUGAGGUAAGCUCUCCUACUACUGCUCCAUAUGCUGCUAACUCGAAUGCUCUCGUGGAAUAUAUGUUGCCUUUCAGGCAAAAUUGAGGAAAGCCACCUAACAGAUACUCCCCUGAUGAAGAAGAGAGGUGGUCUAAAUGUCCCAUUGCAAAUUAUGUGUCCACUCAACAUCUAUCUGAGCCCAUUAAGAUCUUCACAGAGACAUUAUCCUCCUGUCACAUUCCAAAUAGUGUGGAGGAAGCCUUAGGUGAUCCUAAGUGGGCUCAAGCCACACAAGAGGAAUUGGAAGCUUUAUAGAAAAAUAAUACGUUGAGGUUGAUACCACUGCCUGAAGGAAAGAAGACAGUAGGAUGCAAAUGGGUAUUUUCAAUUGAAUACAAAGCUAAUGGAUCCAUUGACAAGGCAAAGCUGGUGGCGAAGGGGUUCACACAAGACAUACGGUAUAGAUUACACGGAGACUUUCUCACCCGUAGCCAAACUAAAUACUGUUAGAGUUUUACUAUCUCUUGCAGCGAAUUUAGAUUGGCCAUUACUCCAGCUAGACGUAAAGAAUGCCUUUCUCUAUGGCGAUCUUGCAGAAGAAGUCUAUAUGGAUAUCCCUUUAGGCUAUACAUCCUCUUCUGGAACCAAGGUUGUGCGCAAGUUGGAACGGGCAUUAUAUGGAUUGAAACAAUCACCUCGAGCAUGGUUUGGGCGAUUUAGCUCGGCUAUGAGAAGGUAUGGCUUUGAUCAAAGUAAUGCAGAUCACACUCUCUUCCUAAAGUAUCAGCAAGGGAAGGUAACUGCUCCAAUUGUUUACGUAGAUGACAUGAUUAUUACGGGGGACGAUGCCGAAGAAAUUUCAAGACUACAAGAGCAAUUGUCAGUUGAGUUCGAAAUGAAGAAUUUGGGUGGACUUAAGUAUUUUUUGGGAAUAGAGGUGACAAGGUCACGAAGAGGUAUUUUCUAGUCUCAAAGAAAGUACGUGUUGGACCUUCUGUCGGAGGUGGGGCUCCUAGAGUGCAAGCCAAUAGACACUCCCAUAGCUCAAAAUCACAAACUCAUAGAGUACAGGGACCAAGUGCCUACGGAUAAAGGAAGGUAUCAAAGAUUGGUGGGAAAGCUUAUUUAUUUGUCACAUACUUACCCUGAUAUUGCCUAUGUCGUAAGUGUGGUGAGCCAAUUUAUGCAUAAUUCGAGUGAAGAGCAUAUGGAUGCGGUGAUUCGAAUACUUCGCUACUUGAAAUCCUCACCAAGAAAGGGGUUGAUGUUCUCUAAGAAUAAUCACUUGAAUAUCGAAGGGUACACAGAUGCGGGUUGGGCAGGGAUGUUUUGGACAGAAAAUCAACUUCAGGCUACUUUACAUUUGUGGGAGGGAAUUUAGUUACAUGGAAAAGUAAAAAGCAAAAGGUGGCGACUCUGUCCAGCGCUGAAGCCGAGUUUAGAGGCAUGACAAAAGGGUUGUGUGAACUACUAUGGCUUAGAAGGUUCCUAAUGGAGAUUGGCUUUGGUCCUAGCAUGGAGAUGAACUUGUUUUGUGACAAUAAAGCUGCCAUUGAUAUCUCACAAAAUCUUGUCCAGCAUGAUCGAACAAAGCACGUGGAGAUAGACAGGCAUUUCAUUAACCAAAAUCUUGAGGAGAAGAUUAUUCGAUCGAUUUCCUUUUGUCAAGUUGGAAGACGAGUUGGCAGAUAUACUCAUAAAGGCAAUUUCUAGCAAGAACUUUAAUGACUCCCUUGACAAGUUGGGCAUUAGAGACAUUUAUGCACCAACUUGAAGGGGAGUACUGGCGUGAGUCAUUAAAAUCACAAGAAAAUAGAAACCAUAUCUAUAUGCUUGUAACAAAUCCCUUAAUUCAAGGAUCCACCAUGAGUUCAGCCGUGUAUAGUGUAUAGGCUAAGAAUAGGUCUUGAAAUAAUUCCUUCUUGUAUCUAUAUAUUCUGUAAAUGUUUCAAAGGAAAAUAUAUGACAAUUUAUAAGAAAAUUCACUCUAUGACAUUUUGUUUGAGAAUGAUAAGUAACAUUCUUGCUCAAGUAUAAUAUACUCUGACUAUCAUAAUUAAGUACAUACACAUCUAGCUUCAAACCUAAAUCUUAGAGAAACCAUUUAGUCCAAAGCAUUUUUUUCCCAGCUUCAGUUGCUGUAAUAUACUCAACCUUAGUUGUAGAUAGGGCAACAUACUUUGUAAUUUUGACUGCCAUGAGACAACUCCUCCUGCAAAAGUAAUCAAAUAUCUUGAAAUUGAUUUUCUACCAUCAAAUAUCACCAGCCAUAUAUGCAUCUGUAAAGCCAUCCAAAAUUGGCUUUGAACCUCCAAAUGUUAAGCACAUCUUUGAAGUAGCUCUCAAGUAUUUAAAGAUCAAUUUCAUUGCCUCCCAAUGAUCUUUACAGGGAUUAACAAGAAACCUGCUGACUAUCCCAACUGCAUGAGCAAUGUCUGGCUGUGUACAAACCAUGACAUACAUCAAACUCCCAACCGCAGAGGAGUAAAGAAUCUUUGUCAUCCUUUCUUUAUCUUCCUCCUUAGAAGGACAAGUUACCUUACUCAAUUUGAAAUAACAACCAAGUGGUGUCACAACUGGUUUAACAUUAUUCAUGUUAAACCUUUUCAACACACUCUUUAUAUAUUUCUCUUGUGAUAACCAUAACUUUUCUGGCUUUCCUAUCUGGACAAAUAUGCAUCCCCAAAAUUUGCCUUACUGGUUCAAGUCGUUUAAUAAGAUCCUUUAUGUUAAGCGACUUGAACAGAUCUACAUUCAAAUUGUGAAUCAAUUGAACAUCUUGUCCCACUAUCAACAUGUCAUCUACAUAUAGCAAAAAGAUGAUGAAGUUAUCACUAUGAAAUUCUCUGACAUAAAUACAAUGAUCUGCAUAUGUCCUGGUAUAAACAUGACCUACCAUAAAGGAUUCAAACUUCUUAUACCAUUGUCUUGGAGCCUGUUUCAACCAAUAUAAACUCUUUUUCAACCUGUAAACCAUUUGUUCCUUUUCUUUUACUUCAAAUCCCUCUAGCUGAACCAUGUAGAUUUCUUCCUUCAAAUCACCAUGGAGAAAGGCGAUCUUAAUAUCGAACUGUUCAAGCUCAAGAUCCAAACUAGCUACCAAGCCCAAAACCACUUGAAUGGACACAUUUUAAUAACUGGAGAUAAUAUCUCAUCAAAGUCAAUCCAUUUUUUCUGAUCAAAGAUUUUUACCACCAAUUGAGCUUUAUACUUCACUAGAUUUUUACUAUCUUUUUUCAGCUUGAACACCCAUUCAUUUUUCAAUGCCUUUUUACCUUUAGGAAGCUCUGCUAGCUCAUAAGUGUUAUUAUUCUACAAAGAAUUUAUCUCUUUUUGCAUAGCCUUCACACAGUUCUGUCUAUCCUUAUGAGAUUGUAUCUCCUUAAAACAUUGUGGCUCCCACUCAUCUGUUAGCAACACAUAAUCUAAUUCUGGAUAUCUGGUUGAUGGACAAUGCUCAUUGUUAGAUCUUCUGAUCUAAGGUUCUGAUGUAAUAGGCUGCUCUCCCUGCUUAACAUCCUAUAAAUCAUCCUCAUCAAUACCUGUUGGCUCAUCAGAUGAUUACCAACGGUGUCUCUAUCCCCUUGAGUGGCACCAUCCGGAGACAAAGAGACAGCUGUAAGGUCAGUGACACCUUUAUUAACACGUCUUUGAAUCCUCAAUUUCUCAAAAUCUGUCAACUUUUGAUUUUCAUGAAAGAUCACAUCUCUUCUUUUGAUUAUUUUCUUCUUUUCUAGAUCCCAUAAUCUAUAACCAAAUUCUGCAUCCCGUAGCCAACAAUAAUGCAAGGACUAACUUUAUCAUCUAGCUUCAACCGUUGUUCUUUAGCUACAUAUGCAAAUACUUUGCACCUAAAAACCUUUAAACGAGAAUAUAAAACAUCUUUUCCAGUUUACAAUUUUCCUGGAAUCUUAAAAUCCAAAGGAGCUGAUGGAGACCGAUUGAUUAGGUAGCACGCUGUUCAAACUGUUUCACCCCAGAAUGAUUUAGGUAACCUGACCAUCCUUAACAUGCUUUUGACCUUUUCUACAAUGGUAUGAUUUAUUCUCUCUGCUACACCGUUAUGUUGUGGAGUACCAGGAAACUGUCAUAUCAUGUCUAAUACUGUGUUCUGAGUAGUAAUCUUUAGACACUUUAGAUGUGUAUUCCCAUUCGUUAUCAGUUCGGAGACACUUCAAAACAUUUCCACUUUCCCGUUCCACGAUGCCAUGAAACUUCUUGAUGUAUUGGAAAACCUAGUCUUUUAAUCUAAAAAAGAACAUCCACAACUUUCGUGAAGCAUCAUCAAUAAAAGUAAGAAAAUACUUAUUACCACCUAAGGACUCAACCUCAAUGGGACCACACAUAUUAGAAUAAAUCAAAUAAAAAAUAUUAAAUUUUUCACUAGAGAAUUUUUGAAAAGAAACUCUAUGUUGUUUACCAAGUAAACAAUAAUGACAUGAAUUGAUGUACCUCUUGUAAAAGGGAUAAAUGACUUCCUUACCGAAAUCUGUAAUCAUUUCUCGGUCAUGUGAGCCAACCGCUUGUGCCACAAGUCUGGUGAUAAAUCACUUUCAAUUGCAUUCAUCGCUUCACUACACACCUUUGCUUGUGUUUUGUAAAUUGUGCAACAAAUCUUUCCUUUAACAAAUACCAUCGACCCUUUGCCAAAAUAAAUGUCAUACCCUACUUCAUCAAAGGCAUAUGUAGAUAGCGAAUUCAGGAACAUGUCGCACAUUAUUCAAUGUUAAGCUGCAUCCUAUCUGUCUUCAGACAGAUAUCACCAAUUUCCACAAUACUAGCAAACUGAUUUGUAUGAAGUAAAGAACUCCCGUCUUAGAGUAACAUGGUAAGAAGCUGCUAAGUCAAUAACCCAUUCAACAAAUAAAUCUGCAACAUGACACACUACUCAUUAGUGGAAAAAACUGCCACUACUAUUUCUUCAUCUGAAGCGCUAACGGCUGUAUUCUGAUCAGUCUUUUUUCUUCUCCUCUUUCAAUUUAUUUUUCCAAGUCAUGCAAUGUUUCUUUAUAUGGCCCUCUUUGUCACAAUAAAAACAUUUGACAUUUUCUCUUGUCUUUGACUAACUUUUGAAAUUAUCGCAUCCCUUAGGACAUCUGCUUUUGCUCACUCCUCUGUUCUCUGUGAUAAGAGCCUGUCCAUCAUUCCUACCCAAGUUUUUUCUUCAUAUUUCUUCAUUAAACAAACUAUUUUUUGAACUAGAGUAAGUUCAAGCGCACCAUUCGGAGUAGAGUUAAUAAGUGAUACCACAAAAGUCUCCCAACUAUCAGGCAAUGAACUCAGAAGUAAUAGUGCUUGCAUCUCAUCAUAUAGCACUAUUUUCAUUAUGGUCAACUGAUUUACCAAGUCUUGAAAUUCAUUCAAAUGCUCAUCAACUAAUUUUCCCUCUUUUAACUUCAUAUUCACAAGCUUUCUAAUAGUAAAAGCUUUAUUUUGAGUAGUCUUUCUCUCAUAGAGACUCUAUAAUUUUUUUCCAAAGGCUAUGGGCAUUUGUCUCUUAAGAUAUAUGAUGAAAUACAUUAAGGCAACCCAUUGUCUAACAUAUCCAAUGGCUUUCCUAUUCAUCUUCUUCUAGUCACUAUCACUCAUAUUGCUUGAUUUCGCACCAUCACCUUCAAUAGGUUCAUGUAAAUCUUUACAAUAAAGGAUAUUCUCGAUCACAGGUUUUCAAAUAGAAUAAUUUGUAAUGACCGAAGUAUUUUCCAUUUAUUCCCGCAAUAGAUCACACCCACACAACCUGAGCUCUGAUACCACUUUGUUAGGCAAUUUCAUUUAUUGCCAGAAUAAAUUCACCAAUCCAAGCAACCAACUAGAGUGAUUAAAUAUGCAAGUAAAUAAUAAUAGAUUACAAUAUUUUAUGCCUCAAAAUCCACUAUAAUAAAAAUAUAGAUUAUAAUAUUUUAUGCCUCAAAACUUGAAUUCUUAAGAAAUUGAAAGUACCACAAUGAUUAAUCUCUAAGAUAACAAUUUUAUCUCACCACAAAUCACUAAUUUGAUUAAAUUUGUGAGAACCCACUUUGAAUACAGCACCUAUGAAGUACCCAAAAUAAACCUUAGAGAAAAUUCCAAUUUGUAUUAUGUAGAGAAGAAAAAUCUUGUGCGAAUCCACACCCAAAGGAUUGAAAGAAAACUUCCCUCCCAAUUAUUUUUCUUUCUUCCAACAACUUGGUUUUCUUUUGUUUUUUACCGGCCAAAGUCUCUUUUAUAUUUUCUAUGUAGCAGCCACAGAUUAAGUUUCUUUCCAGCAACCUCAGUUUUUAUCUUCUUGCACACACAGCCAUGCUUUUGGGACCAUAUAUAUGUGUACGUGCGCGCCGCUUUUGUUGACCUAAAAGAAAAUAAAGAAGUGUUUGGGCCUUUUAUUCAUCAUGGGUUGAAACCCAUUUAACAACUAGAGCUCCCUCUGAAACCCGAGAUGCCAACAUUCCCUAAGCUAGAACUUCCACAAAAAUCUGAAUUGUCUAAACCGGAGAUACGAACAUUGUCAAGACCUGAACUCCCCACAAAAACAUGAAUUACCUAUGCCCGAAUUGCCUACAAUUCCCAAAUCUAAGGUACCAACAUUGUCAAAGUCAGAACUUCCAUUAAAAUCUGAAUUGCCUAAGCCCGAGUUGUCGACAUUAUCAAAGCCAAAGCUCCCACCAAAACCCGAAGUGCCAAUAGUGCCAAAACUCGAGGUCCCAAUAGUGCCAAAGUCAAAGCUUCCACCAAAACCAUAAACUGCCUAAGCCAAAGUUACCCACAAUGCCACAACUUGAGGUGCCUACAGUGCUGAAACUUGAGGCGUCAACAUUGCCAAAAUCAAAGCUCCCACCUAAAUCUGAGUUGCCUCUGUUGUCUGAGGCGGAAUUGCCAAUAGUUCCAAAACCCGAUUCCUAAGUAGCUUGAACUAUCCAAACCCACAUCGCCAGAAGUACCAAAAUCCCCAUGAAUAGUUUAUUUCAACUAAAUAUCUAAUAGUUUGAUUUCAUAUAAUUAAAUUGAUGGAUUGGUUUAAGAGUCAUCGAAUCAUCUUUCAAGAUUAUUCUUUCGUGUGAUAAUUGGACUUGUCUUAUUGCUUUGUCAUAAGAUGUUGUCUUGUCAUUGUUGCUAACAUUGAGUUUAUGAGAGCCUUUGUUUGAGUGCCAUUAAUUUCAUGUAUGCUUUUGUUUCAUAUACAUUUCCUACAUUUUCAAGUUUGCUCAAUUUUAGCUAUCAACGAUGAUGCUAUUGAUGUACAUGCCCAUGAUAAUUCUGGACGAUGUUUCUCCUUGUCGGUGUGAGGCCCCAAAAAAAAAAAGGAUUGCGUUGGGUCAACAAUCAAUGAAUAAUAUAAUGUAUUAUGACAAUAGAAAAAAUCUUCGCUUAUAUUUAUUAUAGUCUGUCUCAAGUUCGAAAAAUAAUGAAUAGUAGUAAGUUGACUACUGGCAUAAAAAUGUCAAAUAUUAUGGCAACAUUGUCGCAUGGAAAAAAACAUUGUCAGUUAAGCUCAUGUUUGGGGUGAAUUAAAAUAAGAUAUUUAGAAAAUUUUAAUCAAAAUUGAUGAAAUAUAUUGUUGAAAAAUUGUGUUUCCCAUAAAAUAUGUGGUUCAAAUUCAUUGUUUACUCAUAGUCAACUUUGUUAUCUUCUCGUAUGUCAACUUUGUAAAAAAUAUAAAUCUUGACCAUGUAUGUUAAUAUUGUUUGACAACAAAAAAAGGAGAUAAAAGAAGAAAUAAUAAAAAUAAAUUUGAAACUCCAAAUUCUGCACAAGAAUUCACUUGCAAAAGUUACUGUUUAUACAAACACAAGAUCUUUUGUGGUCUCUGUAACCGUCUAUAGCCAAACAAGUUGAUCUUUACAGCUUACUAGUUUUACAGUGUUCAUAUAAUUAAGUAAUCCUUUUACAAGACUACCCAAAAAAAUGUUGAAUUGUUUUUGAUUUCAGUCGUUUGUCUUUUAAAUGUUAGUUAUGGGAUGAAAAUUUCAAUUUUCAACUGAAAUAUGACGAUGAAAUUUAAGGAAUAUACCUUUCAAAGAGAGAGAGAGAGAGAGAGAGAGAGAUUUAAGGAAUGUAACAUGCAACAUUAUCUAUGAAGGAAUUGAGCAGUUCAAUUGACAUAGUCGAUUAUCGAAUAGACACGAAAGGAACUUCUCUAACUGCAAAUGCUUGACUCGUCGUAUCUCUCAACCGGGUGGAAAGCCUAGAAGCCGGGAAUCUUGUACUCAUAUUAGUUACCUGUAGUAUAGUUCUCUUCUUAUUUUGUUGGUUGAACUCUUUUAGUCAUGAAUAUGCAAUUUGUUAGAAAAAUAAACAUGCAUUUAACCUAUUUAAUUUAGUUUCAUGAAUUCAGAAGUUUGAAAUACGUGUAUUAUUAAUUAAUAUGCAUCUAGUUAAUUGUGGUUCAUGUAUGCAUGUAUUAUUAAUUAAUGUGUACCUAGUAAAUUGUGGUGCAUGUAGUAGAAUUAAAUUGAGGGGAUGAACUUAUGUGAUAGGAAGUCCUAUAAAUACCUAUGUAAUCUUGAGUUGAAUGUAAGUCCACAAUUGAAUAGAAAAGCAUUUCCUCCUCCUAAGUCCACUUCUAUUUCCUACAAAGUGGUAUUAGAGCCACAAUACUAGAAACAAUGGCAAAUACCAACAUGAUUCCCUUCCAAGUUCCAAAAUCGUCCAAAGAGAAAUUUGAUAAUUGGUGCAUCCGCAUGAAGGCACUACUUGGUGCACAUGAUGCAUGGGACAUCGUGGAGAAUGGUUAUGAGGCUCUCACCAAUCUAGCUGCUCUCACCCAAGCACAAAGGGAUCUUUUACAAAACACUAAGAGGAAGGAUCAAAAGGUUGUUUCUUUUAUUCACCAAGCAUUGGAUGAGGCCACUUUUGAAAAGGUUUCUAAUGCUACUACAGCAAAACAAUUAUGUGUUAUGCUUCAAGUUGCCUGCAAAGGAAAGGAGAAGGCAAAAAAAGUUCACCUUCAAAAUCUACGAGGUGAAUUUGAAGCUAUUCAAAUGAAGGAAUCCGAAAAGGUGUCGGAUUAUAUUUCAAGAGUGGUGACCGUUGCAAACCAAAUGAAGAGGCUUGAUGAAGAUGUGACCGAUUUAAGGGUGAUUGAGAAAAUCUUUAGAUCGGUUAGUGAGAAAUUUGAUCGCGUGGUGACUGCCAUUGAAGAAGCGAAGGACUUGGAAGAUAUGACAAUUGAAGAAUUAUGCGGAUCAUUGGAAGCAUAUGAAGAGAAGCUUAAUCGAAGAAGGAAGGAGCCAUUGGAGCAGGUUUUACAAUCAAAGCUCACAUUGAAAAACAAAGAAGAAAAUGGAAAUACAAGUUUCAAAGGACGAGGGCGUGGAUGAGGCUUUGGAAGAGGAUGAAGAGGUAACCAUAUUUCAUUUCAAUGUAGAGAUGAAAAUUAUCAAUCCAACUCAACAAGAGGACAUGGCAGAGGAGGAGCAAGACCAUAUCAAAAGAGGUAUGACAAGUCACAAGUUAAAUGUUAUACUUGUCAUCAAUUUGGACAUUAUUCAUGGGAAUGUAAAAGUGGCGAUGGUACGAAAGCUAACCUUUCUCAUGAAGAAGAUAUAGAAAAUAAUGAAGAGAUAGAGUCUACUCUUUUGAUAGUUUGCAAGGACUUGCAGCAAGGAGAAAAACAUUCUUGAUUCCUUGAUACGGGAGCUAGUAAUCACAUGUGUGGGAACAAAGAUUUGUUCAUAGAGCUUGAUGAGAAGGUUGGUGGCAAUAUCACAUUCGGGGAUUCCUCCAAAAUCUCAGUAAAGGGGAAAGGUAAAAUCUUGAUACGUAUGAAAGAUGAAAAUCACCAAUUUAUUUCAAAUGUUUAUUAUGCUCCAGAUAUGAAGAGUAAUAUUUUGAGUGUUGGUCAAUUAUUGGAGAAAGGUUAUGUUUUGUUCACAAAAGGUUGCAGUGUGUUUUUAAAGGAUGAUGCAGAAAAUUUGAUUGCUAAAGUACCUAUGGCGAAAAAUCGUUUAUUUGUGUUGUCCAUACAAACUGAUAUGGCUAAGUGUUUGAUGUCUUGUUAUAAAGACUCAUCAUGAUUGUGGCAUUUACGAUUUUGGCACAUAAAUUUUGGAGGGCUCAAAAUAAUGGCUAGCAAUGGGUGGUGAAAGGUUUGCCUCCAAUACAUCAGCCAAAUUAGCUUUGUGAAGGGUGUCUUUUUGGUAAGCAGUCAAGAAAGGUCUUUCCAAAAGAAUCUCAAUCGAGAGUUUCAAAGCAACUACAAUUGAUACACACUGAUGUACGUGGGCCAAUCACUCCAUGUUCUUUUGGUAAGAACAAAUAUUUUCUUUUGUUUAUUGAUGAUUUCAAUAGAAAAACAUGGGUGUAUUUUCUAAAAGAAAAAUCGGAGGUGUUUAAGUGCUUUCAGAAUUUUAAAACUCUUGUGUAAAAAGAAAGUGGAUUUAAAAUCCAAGCUGUGAGAUCAGAUAGAGGAGACGAAUUCACUUCCAAAAAUUUUCAAGACUUCUGUGAUGCCAAUGGAAUUCGUUGGUUCCUAACCGCUCCAGGAUCUCCACAGCAGAACGGUGUUGUUGAACGAAAGAACCGAACAAUUCUCAAUAUGGCAAGGAGCAUGAUGAAGACAAACAAAAUGCCAAAAGAAUUUUGGGCAGAAUCUGUCGAUUGUGCUGUCUAUUUGUUAAACCGGUGUGCCACAAAGGUUUUAGCCCACAAGACUCCACUUGAAGCAUGUAAUGGGAGAAAAAUAGCAGUGUCUCAUUUGAAGGUAUUUGGAUGCAUUGCAUAUAUCCAUGUUCUUGAUGAGAAGCCCUCGAAACUUGAUGAUAAGAGUAAAAAAUGUGUGUUCGUUGGCUAUGAUUCAAAAACAAAAGGCUACAAGCUCUAUAAUCCAAGUGAUGGGAGAAUGUUUAUUAGUAGAGAUGUGGAGUUUGAUGAGGAAACAACAUGGAAUUGCCAUGUUGAAGAAGAUAACUAUGAUUUUUUUCCUUUCUUAGAAGAAGAAGAUGACAAUGAAAAAAUACAUGAGACCACCACUCCUCCAACAUCACCAUCACGUGGUGAAAUUGAUGUUUCUAAAGGAAGUUCAAGUGAAAGGCCUUUGUGUACAAGGAUGCUUGAUGAUAUAUAUCGAGAAAUUGAGAGAAUUGAUGAUAUUACUUUCUUCUGUCUGUUUGUAAAUAUUGAGCCCAUAAGUUUUAAUGAAGCUGCUGAGGAUGAGAAAUGGAGAAAAGCCAUAAAUGAAGAAAUCGAAGCAAUUGAGAAGAAUAAUACUUGGGAAUUAACAACUCUUCCCAAGGGACAUGCUGCCACCGGAGUUAAAUGGGUGUACAAAACUAAGAAAAAUUCAAAAGGAGAGGUGGAAAGAUACAAAUCAAGACUCGUGGUGAAAGGAUACAAACAGCAUCAAGGCAUCGAUUAUGAAGAAGUUUUCGCUCCAGUAGCUCAGUUAGAGACCAUACGACUGAUAAUUGCUUUGGCUGCUCAAAACAAAUGGAAGAUUUUCCAAAUGGAUGUUAAGUCAACCUUUCUCAAUGGCUAUCUUGAAUAGGAGGUCUACGUGCAACAACCCCCCGGCUUUGUAGUAAAAGGAAAUGAGGACAAAGUGUUGAAAUUAAAGAAAGCUCUUUAUGGCCUAUAGCAAGCACCAAGAGUUUGGAAUUGUAGAAUUGAUAAAUAUUUUAAGGAGAAUGGCUUUACCAAGUGUCCUUAUGAGCAUGCUCUCUACAUUAAGGUGAAUGCCAAUGGUGUUCUGAUUGUUUGUUUGUAUGUCGAUGAUCUAAUUUUUACAUGCAACAAUCCAAAGACAUUUGAAGAAAUCAAGAGAAAAAUGUGUUAUGAAUUCGAGAUGACGGAUUUAGGACUUAUGUCCUAUUAUCUUGGGAUAGAAGUGAAGCAAAUGGAGGAAGACAUUUUCAUCAUACAAGAAAAUUAUGCAAAAGAAGUUCUACAGAAAUUCAACAUGAGUAAUUGCAAUCUAGUUAACACUCCAGUAGAAUGUAACAUCACGCUUUCUAGAUAUGAUGAUGGUGCAAAGGUGGAUCCAACCUUGUUUCGAAGCUUAGUUGGAAGCCUGGGAUAUUUAACUUGUACAAGGCCGGAUAUAUUAUUUGGAGUAGGACUGGUUAGUCGUUAUAUGGAGGCUCCAACGACAACACAUUUGAAAGCUGCGAAGAGAAUUUUAUGUUACAUCAAAGGUACUCUUGAUUUCAGGUUACAUUAUUAUGCCUCUAAUGUUUUCAGACUUAGAGGUUUCAGUGAUAGUGAUUGGGGUAGCGACAUGGAUGAUCGAAAGAGUACCAGUGGAUUUGUUUUUUACAUAGGUAAUAUAGCUUUUACUUGGAGCUCAAAGAAGCAACCAAUUGUUACUCUGUCAACUUGUGAAGCUGAGUAUGUUGCUGUCAGUUCUUGUGUUACACAAGUAGUUUGGCUAAGGAAUUUGUUGAAUGAGCUUCAUUUUGCACAAAGAGAGCCUACCGAAGUAAGUGUGGAUAACAAAUCAGCCAUUGCUUUAGCAAAGAAUCCGUUGUUUCAUGAACGUAGCAAGCAUAUAGAUACCAAAUAUCACUUUUUGCGUGAAUGCAUUGCAAACAAGGUAGUGAAGAUUAAUUUUGUGAAGUCUCAAGACCAAAUUGGAGAUAUUUUCACCAAAGCUCUCAAGUUCAAUACUUUCAAGGCAUUAAGAAACUUGCUUGGAGUAUGCAAACUUCAUAUUUAAGGGGGGGGGGUGUGUUAGAAAAAUAAACAUGCAUUUAACCUAUUUAAUUUAGUUUCAUGAAUUUAGAAGUUUGAAAUACAUGUAUUAUUAAUUAAUAUGCACCUAGUUAAUUGUGGUUCAUGUAUGCAUGUAUUAUUAAUUAAUGUGUACCUAGUAAAUUGUGGUGCAUGUAGUAGAAUUAAAUCGAGGGGAUGAACUUAUGUGAUAGGAAGUCCUAUAAAUACCUAUGUAAUCUUGAGUUGAAUGUAAGUCCACAAUUGAAUAGAAAAUCAUUUCCUCCUCCUAAGUCCACUUCUAUUUCCUACACAAUUUUCCCUCCCAUUCUCUACUUUGCUUGGUUCCGAUUAUAAAUAAAGUUUGGUAGGAUACAUUCAAGGUGAACUAGAAAUUUAAUUUUAAGAGUGUACAAUAAAUUUCGUGCAUAAAAAUACAAAACUUUUAUUUUUUUGAAAUACAAGAUAGAUUGAUCACGAGGCUUUCUUCCGGAAUUUCAAGUCUUGAAGACAAGGGGCGAAAUGACUUGCUUCCUGAAUUUUGAAUCUUGAAUUUGAUAAAUAUGGACUUGUUGAAGACUUUAAUAUCUAGAAUUUGACUUGAACUUGCUUUGAUGUAAAGAAAACUUUGAUCUUCUUGAAUCCCGAACUUGGACUUGAAAAAUUUUGUUCUUUUCUUCCUUUCUUCCUUCAGAUUUUGAAUUUUCUCUUUGACUGAUUUUUCCUAAACGUGGGUCUUUUUCUCAUGCACUUGACUUGUGAUUUUUCUUGUACAUUAGAUCCUAUUUAUAGGAAAAAAAAUUUGUAACAAUCCUUAUUUAUAUUUAAGUUUACUAUUAAAUAAAAAUUAAAUAAAUGGACUUAGUUUCUGUUUAGUGGUACUUUACAUUAUAAUUUAUUUUUCAUAUUUAUUUUUAACUACACAUUUACACAAUAAAAUAUUCUAUAUAUAAACUUAAAUUUUUUUCUACAUUUUAACCACACCACACGUUCUCCAAAUAUACUAAUAAUAUAGUUUUUUUUUGAAAUAAAAGUCACCAAACAUGACAUGGCUUAAUGGACUUUUAGACUUCAAUAAACUCAAUUGAGCUAGUUGAAAUCGACCAAAUUCAUUUAAUUAUUUCAUAUAAUUUUUAAUGUCUACAUAAAGUUUCUUAAAGUUACUCACCAACCUUUUUCCGAUAAAUCAGAUUCAAUAACUACUUUCCAACUGAAAUUUUCGGUCCAUUGUACGGAUUGUGCAGAAUGAAGUGAUUCAUGACCCCUAUUAUAGCUUCAAUAAAGUCAUAAUUACAGAAAAAUUUAACAGAACUUAUAUCAACACUGACAUGGCAAAAUAUAAGUGGACUGUUUUUUUUCUUUUUUCUCAUAUUCCAAUGAUGUCACGCCAUGUAUUAUCUGUAAAAUUUUUCUGUCAAAAAAUUCUGUACUUGUAGCAUGAUUCUUAUAAUUUAUGAGAUAAUAUAACUUAAUAAAAAAAGAAAAAAAAUUAAGGAUUCGACAUGUUUUUAACUAAGAAAAAAUAUGGUUUUUUGUCACGAAAAUAUUUGUUUCGUUUGAAAUUAUUGCAAAUGCACUACUCGUUAAUAAAAUGAAUUUUUGAGUCCAAGUAUCAUACACACAGAGAUUAUAUUAGUUCAAAUUCGAAUUAACUUAAUCUUGACCGAAACAAUAGAAAUUUGUGAUUUUUUUUCUAUAACUAAUUUGUAAGUAAAUAAUUCAAUUAUGAACACAAGACCUAAAUUAAAAUGCAAAGAUGUUAUUAAUACAAAUUUGAUUAAUAUAUAAUGAUAAAAAGUGUAUAAGGAUUCAGAAUUCUCUUGUAUCAACCCCCUUUAACCCAACCUUAUAAUUUGACAAUACGAUUUAAUUACAAAGAUCAAUAUUCCUAAAUUGUUUAACAAUUUCUCGCAUGUGUACAAGCAUUAUUAGAGAUUUAUAAAUAUUUAAAGAUCACGUGGAGUAUAUAAGUAUAUUUCUAUCCCUAUCGGAUCUACGAUGAUUAACGCCAUGUCUAACUUAUUUUCCAUCUUUCAAAGGUAAAACAGGCCACAAUAUCCAUACAAUCAUUGUGCGCAUAAUUGUAAAAAAGAUAAUUCUAUGAAAAUUGUUUAAUAAUUGAAAAUGUGUUUGAAUGUCAAAAAGAAAAACUAAGAAUUAAAUAUUAAUGAUACAAGAUUCAUCGUAAUCCUGGCACUAUAUUUGUUUAGCCUAACUUGUUGUGAACAAAAUAGCAAAAAUGAAUAAAUAAAAGUUGUUCAUUAUCCGAAAAUUCUUGAAAUUCAAUUUUGAUGUGUUCUUCAAUUCUUUUUAUAAUCAGUUCUCUCCCUAUAUAUGUGAGUUGGUACUUAUACUUGUCUUCAAGGAGCCCUAAAAGUCUCUUCUUUGUUGGAUUGAAAUUCUCAAAUGAAAUAAAAUUAUCUUGCCGAAUUGGCCUAGGAGGGUGCCCAAUAGGAAAGGGGGCUGCCGCGGCAUAUUAGGUAGAGUAAUGCUGUCUACCAGGGUGAAGCUUACCAGACCUUGUACAUGUUUCUCACAAUGAGGUGGGCCCAUGUCGGACCCACAUGCAAAAAAAAAAAAAAUUGUAAAAAAAACUGACCCUCUCUGCCUUUGUGUGAGGCCCUGUAAGACCUCUGGCAGAGGGGGCCUGGCAAGGUAGAACGACCCUAUUAGGUAGCCCUUGUUAUUGAAGUUAAGGGCUAGGCAUAUAACUAGGCCGGUGCCCUGCUAUAAAAACUUUAAGAAGUUUCUUUUUGGCCAUUUUCUUCAUUAUUUUUUCCAUCUUGGUCAUCCACUUUAAAUUACUUUGAUUUUGGUCCUUCAACUUUUACUCAGAUGCAUAUUAGUCUCCAGACUUCCAUCUAAUGUCCAAUUGAUCUUUCUUUCUUUUUCAAUUGCUUAGAAAUGGGUCCAAAAUUGAAAUAAGAUAAAAUUAACCUCAAUUAAGUAAAACUUAAAACGAUACAAAAGCUUAGUAAAUAGGCUUGGAUAAGUGCAGAAAAUGCACUUAUCAGCAAUUUUCUAAAAUUAAAUUAUCACUUUAAUGAAAUAAAUUAAUAACAAAGAAAGUCACCAAUUUUUUCUUUUGUGUGAAAAACCCUCAACAUGACGUGAAAAAGUAAGAGACUCUAUUAAUCCCUAUAUUUUUAAUACUAAAUCGAUGAACAAUAUCGUUUGUUUUUCUUAUAAAAACAAAUGAUUCUCACAACAUUCGAAAACUUCUUGUCAAUAGUACCUUUUAUAAUUUUUAUUCAAAUUAACAUAAAUUUUUACAAAUAUUAUAGAAAUAGAAAGUUUCGAUAUCACCAAAAUAUCAUCAAUACAAGAGAGUACUCUAUGAUUCAAGUGUAUAUACACAUCUGAUCAAGACAGUCGCUUUGAGCGGCUCCUAUUGAUCGAAACAUGGUACGUACACAAUUUUACCUACAAUCUUAAAUGUGCCCUAAUUAGAAACCCUUCAAUAAUAUACAACCAACUUGACGGCAUCUAAAAGUGUACUCACGAGCAGUUGAAAUUAUCAUAAAAUUCAAUGCAAUAUGGGCCCUUUUUGUACCACACUCUCAUCAAACAAACACAAUAAAAAGGCUCUCCAGUCCUUACAUUCUCACUACAAAAAAAAAUCACUCAACUGCUAUUUUUGCUUAUAAUCCCAAGUUACAAGGCCUAAUUUUCUAUUGAUUAUGGCUUCAUACAAGUGGUUCAUCUUCUUCUUUCUCAUUGCUCUAUCUUUGUCGAGUCUUGACAAAGUAUCAGCAGGUCGACCUCGUCACUUGGCACAAACAUCAAAUUAUCCCAGUUUGUUCGCGCCUCUUAUCCCCAACUUGCCACCAAUUACAUAUCCUCCGUUCCCUUUCCCUCCCACCGGUCGGCCCACUGUUCCUUAUGUUCCAUUUCCAAAUGUUCCACCUCCAGCAACUACUAGUCCAUGAAGGCAUUGUUUUCAGUACUCGACAUGACUCGAAAAUAAGAUUGUAGCUUUCUUAUCUACUUAAAUAAAUAGUUUGAGUACGUUACAAUUUAAAUUAUGAUGGUGUAAAUGUGUGCAUGUAUUGCUGUAUCUUUGUUAUCUUCUUCGUUCUCGUGUUUUCUACUGAUGAUUAAGAAUGAUCUAUGUUUUCUGUUAUAUUAAUAAUAUUGGGUUAUUGUUUCUGUGACGCGUAUUUUCUUGUUUUAAUUUCUUUGCUGAUAUGUUUAUGAUUUGGAACUUAAAUUCUGCUUUGUAAAGCCCUUUUAGUGUCGUGAAACUUUGUACGUUAUGUUAGGAAAAUUCUCCUACUAUUUCAUGCAAGAUUUCAUAGUAAACUUCUGAUGCAGUCCAAAAACACGAGAAUGCC